rnacentral:lncRNA from 1 species
UGUUUUAUUUGUUAAGAGAUGGCAUUUUUAUUUAUUAAGUGAUGAAAUUUUAUUAUUAAGAGAUGGCAUUUUUAUUAUUUAAGAGAUGCAUUUUUUAUAUUAAGAAUGUCAAUUUUUAUUUAAGAGAUGGCAAUUUCAAUUUUCAGAGAUGGCAUUUUUUUGUUAAGAGAUCACUUUUUUUUACGUGUGAGAUGGCAUUUUUAUUAUCGAGAGAUGUCAUUUUUUAUGUGAUACUUAUAAAGACAUUUUUUUAGUGUGGUGCUUAAGCUGGGCUUUUUUCCUUUUUAAUGCUUGAGAGGAUGUCAUUUUUCUGUAGAGGAUGGCAGUUUUAUAAGAUCACUCGUCUUUUUUUAUGAAAAGUUUUAACGUGGUAAUUUUAAACAAAAGAAAAAUAUUUUAACUGGGCCUUUUUAGGUAUCGGGGUCGCUCUGGCGAACGACCAGAAACGUUCGCCGGGGGUGCUGUCCCAGCUAACGAAACCGGCAGCUACAAUCUCCCCCAUGGGGACCGUGCCCUGGAUAUUGGUGUCCAAAAGUAUUGUAUAGUGCAAAAUUUUGGUUCAUGCCAAAUUUGAAACUAUCCAACUGCCGAAUGGACAAUCUCUAGUUUUUAACUCUUGUCCUCUGUGUGCAACCACCUCGAAACGAUAUCUCAGCCUGUGUUGGAUGUCGGUCUCGCAACAAGAUUUGUGCCGCAUAGUGUGUCAUGAAAUCUUUUUUGUCUGAUGUAGCCCCCAUUAUGGCUCUUCUUUUCUUGUAUGAAAACUUUUUUAUUUAUUAAGAGAUGGCAUUUUAUUCUUAAGAGAUGGCAUUUUUAGUUGAAGAGAUGGCAUUUUUACUAUUUAAGAGAUGUCAUUUUUUAUUAAGAGAUGCCUUUUUAUUUUAAGAGAUCACAUUUUUUAUUUUAAGAGAUGCCAUUUUUUAUUUCUUAAGAGAUGGGAUUUUACUAUUAAGAGAUGGCAUUUUUUAUUUAAGAGAUGGAAAUUUUAUUAAGAGAUGGAUUUUUAUAUUAAGAAUGGCAUUUUUAUUUAAGAGAUGGCAUUUUUAUUUUUAACAGAUGGCAGUUUUGUAUUAAGAGAUGACAUUUUUUUUACCUAGGACAUGCCAUAUUUAUCAUUAAGAGAUAAGAGAUGUCAUUUUUUGUGUGAUGCUUAUGCAUAGAGCAACCUUGAAAUGAUAUCUCAGGCUAUGUUGGAUGUCGGUCUAGCAAUAAGAUUUGUGCCGCAUAGUGUGUCAUGAAAUCUUUCUUGUCUGAUGUAGCCCCCAUUAUGGCUCUCCUUUUCUUGUAUGAAAACUUCGUAAUGAAGAUGUAUUGCGUCGAUUGAUGCAAACGAGAGAUACCCCUUUUGCGAAAUAAAUAUAUAGAUAAUCUAUAAAAUAAAAUUUGUAAACUAGCGCGUAAGCAUGAUGAUAUGCAUAUGCAUAGAACAAUUCAAACAACAUAUCAACAUAGCAAAUGUACUAACCAGGCUCCAGGCACAGUAAACAAAAAGACGGAUCAAACAAUGAGUUAUAAUCUUCAUUUUUGUUGGUGAAUAAAAAAGAAAAAACUGUUCCCUCAAAAAAAGAAAAGAAAAGAAAAAAUUGAAAGCAAAGAUAAUCGACAUCGGGCUUCUUGCUUGCAUCGCUAUAUGAUUCACCGGGCCUAUCUUCAAUUAUCCUUGGUGCAUGUCGGCCAGCAAUGGAGUUCUGUCUGAUUCGCUCGUCUCUUCGUCCCCCGUUUCUUCCACGACCCGGAGGCUGUUUUUGGGUGACUUCCCGUCGGAGCCCUCGGACGGUGGGGCCGUGACUGUCGGAGCCGCCGCGGCAGGGAGGAUCAGGCUCGGAGACAUGACCUUGAUCACACGGAUGCGGCACCGGACGACGAGGCGGUCGUCGCUGACCAUCUGUUCGGCCGACGCGAGGUCGCCGCUCGUCACCAGGUACGGGGACACGUGCACUGGGUUGUCAAUGUCGAACAUGUGCUCCGUGAACUCGGCACCCUCCUUGCAGGCAUCCUCCAGAGGGUAGUCAUCGGCGAGCUCGAAGCAGAACUCGGCCGUGGUAACCGGCUCGUCGGACUUCCCACGGCCGAGGAAGACGGCCACGCAGUCCUUGGUGACGUCGUCGUGCCCGUUGGGGUACACCUUGAAGUACCAGCUGCUGCCGCCGAGGCCGAAGUGCGGGGUGUACGCGCACUCCCCUGUCCGGAGCGCCGCCCGGAGCCUGUCAGGGCACCCGCUGCGACCUCGUCGGGUGGUGGCGGUGCCAUAGUGAGCGGCCAAGUCACCUCCCUGUCGACGGAGAUGGUGCACCGGACGGUGAGGCUGUCGUCUUCCUCGCGGACGCAGCACGACGCCUCCAGCUCCCGGCGGCUGACGAAGCGGACGUAGCCCUUGCUGCGUCCGUGGUGGCGCACCGUCUGCUCCGACCUGGCCGUGUGGUUGUCGAAGACGACGUGCCUCCCGGUCGCGUCCAGGAUCUCGAUCGAGAGAUUCGAGACACUGGCGGCGGCGCUCAGGGAAUAGCGGUCAUCGAAGGGCCCGUGGACGAAGACGGCGACGAACUCCGCCGAUUCCUUGUCGAGGCCGGCGGGGUAGACCUUGAGGGUGUAGUGACUAGUGACUGUAGUCGCAGCCGCGGAUAUAGAACAUGUCGAAGUUGAGCGCGGAACCGGCGGGCAUCCGCGCCCACUUGGAGUAGUCGGGCACGACGAAGAGCUGCGUGGUGGAGUCCGUCUUCACCAGGCCGCACGACGACGGCGGAGACGGCGACGACGCGCGGCUGGCGCUGGUACCCAUUGGUCGGAGACGGACGAGCGGACGUACCUACGUACACGGAGGCUGAAAACGGAGCUAGACCGAUCGAAUUGGUAUCACAACGAAUAUAAAGAGCCGCAAUCUUUUGAAGCAUCUGGAUUGAGCCAGGGAAACGUGUGCGCAUUUUCCAAAUCGGAGACUGCUUCCCGGAAAUUAUGUAACAACUCCGUUUUCUGUUGUUUUGGUAAGUCGUGAUCUGUUUCCAUCAAAUAUAUAUAGAAACGAACGCUUCCCAUAAAUACGUUUAAAACUCUAUUUUUCGUUUUUUUGGGUAAGUCGUGAUUGCUUCCAACAAACAAAUAUAGAAAGGUAAUGCUUCCCAGAAAUUUCAGGUUUGCUUCCAAUAAUAAACAAAUAAAUGAACCUAAAUGUUUCUGUAGAUGUUUUUCUGUAGCGCAAAGGUGGCAUGUAAACUUUAUUUGCCAGUAGAAGCAUCGCGUGAUGGAAACAAUAUUACUAUCUGAUCGUGUGAUAUUUCUUUUUCAAUGAAGCAUUACUUCAAUGUUGUAGUACCAUUUUUUAGAUGUUUGGAAACAUUUCUUUUGUGUAACAGAAACUAAAUUCAUGUUUGAUGGACACAUUUGCUUCGCGAUGGAAAUUGUAUGGAUCAACAACAUUAAUAUACACUGACACAAAUUAUUUUGAUACGAAAAGUUCAUAACUCCUUUUGCAACAACACUAAGUCAUGGUUCAAACACCAACAGGCUGAUGGUCACAUGCUUCCUUUCGAUGUUGGUCAUGCUUGAUUGCGAUGGUAGUCGUACUUCUGUCCGAUGGUGGACGUGUGUCAUUCAAAGGCUGGCCAUGCAUGGUAGGCCUGCUUCCUUCCUACUCACUCCAUCCAGGAAUAAGUGUACACUAGACCAUGAAAGCGCACGUUGUCGCGCCCUCCCAUUUGUAUGAAAAAUAGAUGGGAAUUACCGUUAAUAAAUUCUCCCUCUGUAAAGAAAUAUAUAAUUGUUUAGAUCAUGAUCUAAACGGUCUUAUAUUUCUUUACACAGGGAGAUUGGAAUUUCCAUUAACAAAUGAAGACGCAUAACAUAAUAAUUAAACUUUACAAACUUACUGGUAUAAAUUUGUCAGCAAUAAAAUCGGGAAUUCUAAUCAUUUUUCGAAACCAAAGAUAUACAUGUGUAGAACAUAGCUCUAUCAACAAAUUUCUGAAUGAUUGACACAAAAUCAGCAAAGUUUGGGACCCGAUUGUGGUGAUCAGACCCACUUCGAAAUAAAAAGCAUGUACUUUGAUAGUUUUCAUAAAUAUAGACAACAAUUAAUAACAAUGAAAGCAAUAGUAUAUAUUAUACUGAUUAUUAACAUGGUGCUAUUAUCCCAUAGAACAUCUAACUACACCAGCUCAAUAAGAAAGUUAUAAGUUCAUAAGCUUUUUUUUCCCUCAGUGAAGUUGCCAUAGAAUUUGAUAAAGUAAAUUCUUAUACCAUUUUUUCGGCCCAUUCCACACGUUCGAAUUCAAAACAAAGUUCCAGAACUUUAAGAUCAGAAGGUAUUCUCGCUGCUGCGGUCUAUUAAGUCACGACUAUAAUAAUCCUUUCAUCCCGAAGCAACCAGGCAGGAAGGGGGUUGAGGAGUGUCAGAAACCAUGUGCAGGAGCUCACCGGCUAUAGCUGCUGUAUUCACCUACAAACAAAGGAACUCACAAGGACACAAAUGAUUUACAAAGUGUGGAAACAUAAUCACAUUUGGUAGAAGGCAAGUCCAUAAAUGGCAGAUCCGGUCAAUAAGCUAUUAUAGCUUUCAACGUCAGAUGAUUUAUGGCUGAAGUGUAUAAUGAUUUUCCGAUGAUGGCAAGUGCAACUUAGUGUAGAAGAGAGCACAUGAUUUUUGUGAGAAGAAAGAUAUUUUUUUUUAUUCAAAAGGAGGAAAGCCCCCGGCCUCCGCAAAGAAGAAAGACAUGUGAUAGGAAAGUAUACCUUGUUUCAUCCUUUGCAGAUUGUACGUUAUCAUUUUUAUGUGCCACAUGGAAUUUAGAAACUGCACUGGAAACUUGCCAUCACAAUCUAUAUGCUACAUAAAUCAACAACUAAAUAUAUGGUCAACUAUAGAGCACAUGGACAUCAUUAACACUGUCUAAAAUAUAUGGAGAAUGCUGCUGCUGCCGGUGUCCACAAUUCCUCCACUAUCUAAUAUCUAAAAGGAAAAUCUUGUCUGUUUAUAACUUGAUGUGAUCACUGUUGCCACAUGGUGCAUUGUGUAAUCUUUCCUGCACCUUUGAUUUCUUUUUGUGAUAUGCAGAUUAACUCGCAACCCAGGUCAAAUCCACGCCAACUUGCCCACUUGAUGAUGCAUAAACAUUAGGAAAAUUAGGCUUUUUAGAAGAGGUGCAGUAAUCUCAAAUCCAAACUAUUAUCAACUCCUAAUCAAACUAAUGGACCAACCAGUUAGUUAGAAGAUGGUGUGUUUGCGUAUCAAUCAAUUCAACGACGAUGCAUAUGCUAUCCACGAUGGCAUGGGAAAGAAUCUCCCACGAGGAGGGAGAGUCGAACGGAAGAUGGGGAACAUAGUGGUUCGUGGCGGGGGAGAUGGUACCACUGUACCAGCAGGGAGGGGUCGAGGAGGAGCUCCAUGCGUGGGAGUUUCGUUGAAGCCUCAGGCCGCGAAGAGAGCGAACGAACUCACACCUCUCCUUGUGCCCCCACCAGCCUGGCUUCCUUCUUCGGCGUACAACGACGGCGGCGGCCGCGGAGAGGAACACGGUUUCGUGAGCAAUGGAGAGAGGCAGGGAAUCCACGCCUGAACGGUUCUCCUUUUGGGCCCUUCUGCAGAUAACAUGGUCAAACGGCCCAAUUAACGAGAGGACCCCUAGGUCACCGCGCGGAGCAGCGGCCCGGCUACUGUGAUCUGGAACGUCCAGUACCGCGAUCCAACGGCAAAAAACGUGAAAUCGCUGAGGAAGUGCGUAACUAGCUGCGUUAUACUGUUUAUUAGUAAUAUAGAAUUUUAGGACAGAUUAUGGAAUAGAGUAAAAAAUGCGUUGGUGAUUUUGGUAAAUUUGGCAUGUCAAUGUAGAUGAAUUUUCCAUGGCAGAAUAGAAGUGAAUUUAAUUUGCCAUCACCGACUAAAGUGAAAUUUUGAUAUGUAUCUAAAAAGUAAUUUUGCCAUGGCGGUAUAGAUAAUUUUGCCAUGGUAAAAAAAUGUAAUUUUUCAAUGGAAAAAAAUAAAAAGUAGAAAUUUCCAUGGCAAUAAAAGUUAAAGUUUGCCACGAUGAUUUAGGUAAAUUAGCCAUGUCAAUGAAGGUGAAUUUACCAUGGCAGAAUUUCAAAAUUAAAUUUAAUUUGCCAUGAUCGACUAAAGUAAAAUUUUGACAUGCAUGUAAAGAAUAUUUUUGCCAUGGCAAGAAAAUGUAAAUUUGCCAUGGAUAAACAAAAAGUAGAAAUUGCCAUGGCAAUAAAACUUAAAAUUUUCCAAGGCGCCACUAAACUGAAAAAUUGCCAUGCUAUAAACUAAAAAUAGCCUUGUUCUUAAACAAGGUAAAAUGUUGAUUAUCACUUUUUUUUAGGUAUAGAUAUAGACGUCAUGCACUUAUUGCAAUCAACUCAGUAUCUAUUAUAAAUCAUCUUGACAGGAAGGAUAAAAGUUAGAUCCACUAUAAAGCACAGUUCUUGGUAGAAAAAUACAAAAUUGAGAUCAUCCACUAUAUACUUCUUGAUUGAGAAACAAGAAUUCGCAUGCUGGCUUCAUGCUGUCCUAAAUAAGAAUAAAAUAAAAACCAACGCGCUAAACUAUCUAUUCCCAGUCGUGCCGCUGACUGUCCUAGCAAGAAAACACGGGGAUGGACCCCCUCCGAUCUUGGCCUUGCAGACAAGCACCGUGUCCACGCAUCUGUUUAUGUAACACCCCCCGCCCCCGGGAGUCCGCACCACCACGUCCACCACCGCCUGGCCCCUCUCCAGCUCGCCGGCCAGCCGGUACCGCAGGAAGUGGGGCAUCUGCUCGUUCAUGCCCCAGGCCUUGGACGCGGAGCCGUCGCCGCCGACGCACUCCCCGGUAAGCUUGUUGUGGGUGUUGUCGAUUUGCACGGUGAUGCCGAACACCGGGCUGAGCGCCUGCCGGUCGCUAUGGAGAUCCUGGGCCGGGUCCAGGCCGUGGACGCUGGUGAUGUUCACCGUGUACUUAGUGUCAGCUCUCGCCGUGAUUAUCCACACAAGAAGAUAUACUGAACCUAUCAUGAUCCCUAGCACUAUUGCGCCUAUGCAUAAAUUGAACGUCCACUUCGCGCACUUGCUUUCCUCUUGGGCCAUGGCGUCGAGGAACAAUGUCACAAUGACGAGAGCUCGAUCGAUAUGCGGUGUUUGGUAAGUAGUUGGGGAACUUAUACCACUAUUAUUGGAGAGGAGAGAGAGGAGGGCCUUUGUCUUGCGUUACGGAGAAGAGAUGUUUUCUUUUUUUAGAUUCGGAGAAGAGAAGGGUUCGUGUUCUUGCUGGACACGUACGGCUUUCCGUGUGUCAAUCGUUUGUGUUCUCGCCGGUAGAUUUCAGUCGGGAUUCAUGUUACAAAGCCCCAUCACAUGGGGAAGGCACGACUUAGUCACCGCAUGUGCAAAAAAACAAAAACGUAACAAAAGCAUGUGUGCAAAUCGUGCUUGCAUACGUUUAAGCAAGGCUCCCACAAACCGUCCGCAUCCAUUCGAACUACACUGUCGAGAGCAAUGCUACAUCUACGGGCUGCUUGUUACGUAGUAUCUUAUGUACGUAAUGGAUGACAUGGUGUCUAACUUUUAUUUUUCCUGUCAAGAUGCCUUGUCGUUGGAGGCAAGGCGACUUGAAGUUAGGAUCGGUCACGGAUCAUAUGACCCGACCCGGACUCUUGUAAGCCGGAGGUCUCGACCUGUAUAUAAAGACGAGUCCCCAGCAUAGAAUAUGUCAAGUUACAAUCAAUCGAUAGCUAGGUCAAGUGAUUCCGCUCCCUUGUAAUCGAUACUCAAGCAAUAAGCAACAAAAGCAGGAGUAGACUUUUAUCUCCACCGUGAGGGGCCAAACCUGCGUAAUCUCACGUCUCUCGACCCGCUCAACCCCGACAAGCUAAUCACCAUUGCGAUGGCCUCACGUCUAAGUCCUCACACUAGGAUAAGCGCCAUGACAAAACCAUGACAGAUUGGGCAUGCGAUCCAGUGUUGGUGUGAUCAGGCGCGUUGUGUGGAUCGGAGUAUAUUUGAAUUUACUGGCGGACUUAUACAUGAUAGCGUUGAAUGGCGGUCUCCAGCAUCCAUGUCCGCGGACUAAUCGCGGACAGAUACGGAAGAAAUUUGCGGGUCGUCGUUGGAGAUGCACUUAAGCACCAAUGUGUGACGUCACCAUGAUGUUAAAGAAAACAUAGUAUUGGUUCACGGUUUUCAUAGGAUGGCGACGUCAGUGCAUGGCGCUGAUGACCUGUCAGCAAUGAGGUGACCGAGGAAUGACCGCCCACUUGAUGGCGCGUCGCAGGGCGGUGAGGACGCCGUUCAGGAAAUAGACAGUGCUCCUGGGUGGCAAGUUCACCGUUUAGGAAGGUGACGGUGCUGCCUCGCGGCAAGGAUGAGGAGGUGAUGGAGGAAUGGCAGCUCACUUAACUCCUUUUGCAUCGUCGAGGAAGGCGGCGGUGCUGUCGGGCGGCAAGGUCGCCGUCCAGAAAGGCGACGGUGCUGCCGUGCGGUAAGGGAGCUAUUAUUGUCCUGAAAUGCGGCUUCUAAUAUUGUGGUGACGCAAGACGGGGAGUCGCCGAGGUUUAGAUUGGGGGAUCCAAUUGUGAUGAUUUUUUUUUUGCGUGCCUUACAUGAUUGUAUGGGUUGCAGACAUGGGGUCUGAAGUUCUGUAUUUUCCUCUGCGUUGGAGUAUGUUCAAGCAAUGUAAGCUACUAAGUGCACACCGGAGAACACAUUAGGUUAAAGCUAGCUAUUGAAUUUAGUUUUGUGGGCCUAAUCAUAUGGUGGUGAUGAAUCCGUAUACGUCCUGUGCGGUUUGUUUAGAAAAGAUAGUAUGUGCACUUUUAUAAGUAAUACAUAUUUUUUUUAUGUCAAACUAGAAAUCUAGUAACUCCAAAACUCAAAAAGUAGUCGGACAACUAGAUUGUAGUAUGUCAUACACUUAUCGCAAUCAACUCCGUAUCAACCACUAUAAUCAUCUUCACUGGAAGAAUAAAGUUUGGAUCCACUAUAUAUGGAGCACAGUACUCGGUAGUAGAAAAUAUACAUUCAGAUCCACUAUAAAACACCGUUCUUGGGCUGGAAAUACAAAAUUCAGAUACCACUAUAAGACAUAUGUACCUUUUGACUGAAAACAAAGAUUCACAUCGAGGCUCCACGCUAUCCUCCUAAAUAAAAAUAAAAUGAAAACCAAGACACUGAUUAACUAUCUGUUUCAUGUCGUGCCGCUGACAGUCGUGGCACGAAAACACGGGGAUGGACCUCCUCCGAUCUUGGCCUUGCAGACAAGCACCGUGUCCAGGCAUCUGUUUAUGUAACAGCCAGCACCCGCGGGAGUCCGCACCGCCACGUCCACCACCGCCUGGCCCCUCUCCAGCUCGCCGGCCAGCCGGUCCCGCAGGAAGUGGGGCAGCUGCACGUUCAAGCCCCACGCCUUGGUAGCAGCCUCUCCCACCUUCGUUGUCUGCACGCAGAACCACGGCGCGGUGCCCUUGGCGAGCAGCGCAUCCCCGUAUGACACGAUCGCCGAGGAGCCGACGCCACCGACACACUUCUCGACGAUCUGGUUGUGGGUGUUAUCGAUGUGCACGUUGAUGCCGAACACCGGACUGAGCGCCCGCCGGUCGCUAUGGAGAUCCAGCGCCGGGUCCAGGCCGUCGACGCUGGUGAUUGUCACCGUGUACUGGGUGUCACCUAGCCUAUUGUUUUCCCACACAAGAAAAUACAAAAAACCUGCCAUGAGGCCUAUCGCUAUUACGAUCAUGCAUAACGGGAAGCACUUGCUUUCUCCGUCUUGGGCCAUGGUGUCGAGGAACAAUGGCGAGUGCUGGAUCGAUAUGCGGUGUUUGGGAAGUAGUUGAGGACUAUAUAGUAUUGGAGAGGACGGCCUUUGUUCUGCGUUACGGAGAAGAGUAGGGCUCGUGCUCUAGCCGGACACGCGCGGCUUUCCGUAUCUGAAUCGUUUGGCGGCGCACAGUUGACAACAAAUCCUAAUCGGAACGGGGCUAUCUAGUACUCCCUUUCGUAAAUUAAUAUAAAAGCGUUUAGAUUACCAUUUUAGUAAUCUAAACGCUUUUAUAUUAAUUUACGAAAGGGAGUACUAGAUACGUUAGGGGUCGGGCCAAAUUUGGUUGGAAAAUAAUACUGUAUGAUCUUUAAGCUGGGAAAAACAACAAAUUAGCUAACAAGUAACCGUAAUGUAAAUGAAAUAUGUCACAAUACGUAGAGACCACAAAUGUCAGAUUAUUUUUUACUGCAGUUUACCUGUACAUGCUCCAUUCUGUACUCUACAUGCAUUGACUUCUUUCCAUAGUAUUUCAAGUAUAAAAAUAUAGCUUUUCAGCUAAGUUAUAUUUUUUGCAAAAAGGAUCCAGAUCUAUUAUAAAAGUGCAUCGAAAGUACAAAGCACCUCAAACAUAACAAAAAUUACAUUGAGACUCAGAGGCCAUUGAACGACAACUACCACCACCAGAACGAGCCGCCGUCACGACUAAGUUAUAGAUAUCAAGGUCAUACGAUACUCCCCUCCCUCCCACGUCACUCCUGUGAGCAGCUCAGAGAAACCCUACCGCCGGCCAACCCUCCCCUUUUGUCCCUCCCUUCACUCCUGCCGCCGAUGUCAGGCACUGAUGUGUGCACCAAUGCCGUAGGUUUACUUGGGGUGACUCAAGUGUUGAACAAAAGACAAGCACAACCAUUUGUUUUGACGCAAGUAUAUCAGAUGCUUCAGAUUCUAAUCUUCCGACUGUGCUACAGCUUGGCUCUUUCUUCUUUGAGGUUUCGCCGAUGGAGCCGAAGAAGGACACGGUGAAGCCAGACUUCAGAACCCCUCCGAAGUGCAGUAAUAUUGGUAGUAUUUCAUGUCCGGUGAAGUAGUUUCAAGCAUGCAAGCAAAUAAGUAGUUCUUGUUAGAACUAAUCUUGUUAUUAGUGCCAGGUUUAGAUUAUUUCUUGUUUUUCCUUGAGUCAUGCAUGUAGUCCUGUCCAUAUACUAGGCUGCGGCAGUGUACUCACAUAAAGAUGAGAUCAUGUGUGUGCAUGCAAGCUAGUAGUGGGUCAAAUUAGUUAGUUGAUGUAGUCACGCAUGUAGUUUGUUAGCUAGCCAUGUGCAUGUGCAUGCCGGCCGUGUCAUUUGGAUCAUGGGUGAGUUGGUUAGUGGCCGAGUGUGCCGGCCAAGUUAGUGCGUGAGUACAUGGGUUAGUGGUUAGUGUGCCCGGGUAUGGCGGCUGGCUUGGCAAGUCAGCCAACCUCUCUUGUGUAUAUAAGUGUUGCACUGAGUCAAUGAGAAAGUUUGUGGCCGAGAGGGCCAGCAGAAAAGAUGUAGCAUAUGUUUAUCUCACUGGGAGGAAAGAGGCAAAGCUAGUUUCUCCAUGGUGAAGUGUGCGCGCGCGUGUGUUUUCUUUGAGCUUUUUCAUGGUGUGUUCUUGAGAGAGAUGAGAGAGUUGUGUGAGGCAAUCUAGAGGAAGAGAAGAAGCGGCGCUGCAAGGAGGCGGCACCAACAAUUGGCAUCAGAGCCUUGUCGAUCCGAGGCGGUGGUGGCGACGCGGCGGACUUCAUGUGACGUGGAGGUCGUCGGCGCAAGGUGGAGGUCAUUGGCGGUGUGAUGCUGCUAGUGGCCGGUGUGUGUCUCCCUCAUCGUCGAGCUGCGUCAUGAGCGAUGGAGAAAGGUAUAUUGUCCGGUAAGUUGUGUCACCAGCGGCAAGGAGGUGAUGGCCAUGAAGCGGAGGCCAUUGCCACGACGAGUUCCAUGUCCGAGUCAUCGACAAGGUGCGUCAUCAUCGACAACAUGGAGGCGGCUCACCGGCGAGUUGCGUCACCGGUGACGAACAAGUCAUCGGCAAGUUGCGGCACCGGUGACAAACAUGCGGCAGCGAGUGUGCCACGGCGGUGCGCUCGUGGUGAAGGCGUAGAAGGUGUGGUUCUCAUCGAGGCCAGCGGUGACAGUGACAAUCGGCGUGACAAGAUGGCAUUGGUGGCCAUCUACGUGUUGCACCGACGACAACGACGACCACAGGCUUCAAGAGAGAAAUAAGUUAACAAGAUUAGGGAGGUAAAUGUUAAAACUAAAAUCUUGUUAUUAGUGCUAGAUUUAGAUUAUUUCUUGGUUUUUCUUGAGUCAUGCAUGUAGUCGUGUCCAUAUACUAGUCAUGCAUGUGUGUGCAUGCAAGCUAGUAGUGGGUCAGAUUAGUUAGUUGAUGUAGUCACGCAUGUAGUUUGUUAGCUAGCCAUGUGCAUGUGCAUGCCGGCCGGGUCAUUUGGAUCAUGGGUGAGUUAUUUAGUGGUCGAGUGUGCCGGCCAAGUUAGUGCGUGAGUACAUGGGUUAGUGGUUAGUGUGCCCGGGUAUGGUGGCUGGCUUGGCAAGUCAGCCAACCUCUCUUGUGUAUAUAAGUGUUGCACUGAGUUAAUGAGAAAGUUUGUGGCCAAGAGGGCCAGCAGAAAAGAUGUAGCAUAUGUGUGUCUCACUGGGAGGAAAGAGGCAAAGCUAAUUUCUCCAUGGUGAAGUAUGCACGCGUGUGUGUUUUCUUUGAGCCUUUUCAUGGUGUGUUCUUGAGAGAGAUGAGAGAGUUGUGUGAGGCAAUCUAGAGGAAGAGAAGAAGCCGCGCUACAAGGAGAUGGCGCCAACAAUUCUUUUAUUUUAAAUUAGUCAUGUGUGAUCAACGUGGCCGGUUGAUUAAGUAGCUUUCUAAUUAAAGAAUAUUAUUCCCUUCGUUUCAUAAUAUAAGAGCAUUUUUAACACUACACUACUGUUAAAAAUGCUCUUAUAUUAUAAGACAGAGGGAGUACUUCAGAAUAGGAGGGUCGUACAGGUUGUGCUAGUUAGCUUGUUUUUUUCUUUCUCUCCGAGAUGUAAAAGGAGGGAACCUCCGAAUUAGUUCGAGACAGUUAGUAGUUUAGGCCCUUACGGCUGGUGUCUAGGGUAUAAAAGGCAGCGUCCUGAGUCUUGUACCCAGAUUAGUUGGGAGUUGAAUAAAAAAUACCAGAAAACGCCUCACGGCGAGGGGCACCAAAGAUGCGUUUUUGCGGUUCCUAAGGUUUCGUUGCUGCUGUUCCUGUGUUGGUCUUGUAUCAAUAUUCGGUACAAGUCUACUCGUUUGGCUUCUUGCUAUAUCGUUUUUAUCCAAAGGCUUUUCUUCUUCUACGUCGGUCUGUUUUUUUUCUGCGACGGUUGCUGCUGUUCAUUGAUAUUUUGCAAGUACCAUGAAGGACCGGACCAACCAACGACUCAUCGUCUAGCCGAGUCUACAUCAGGCGCCGCAUGGAGAGGCCUGACCGACAUCGUCGUCGGUGGGGCCUCUCCUUCCAUUUGCCCGCUCAUCGACGGCUGCCGCGGGACGAUCCGACCGAACUGAGGCAUUUUGCUCGCAUGGGGCACGGUGUCGGACGCCAUGGUAGCAUGGCUUGCUGGAUCUGUCUUCUAACGACCCGCUUCCAAUAAGGAUCCGAAUCUCUUGUGAUCUGCUGUGCUGUCUUUGAAUCGGUAGCUAGCACACACAAUACUCGAUGAAAUACCACAAAAUCACAUGAAAUGUAAUGUCAAUCCAUAGUAUUUAACUAUUUAUUACCUGAUAGCCCUAGGGCUAGAAUACACAACAAAAACAACAAUAAAGAUGCGGAGUCCCAUCAACGUCAAUGACAAAGUUGAGUUUAAACCUCAUAACCCUAUUUUGUAUCCUUACUCUUCGUCUGGAAAAUCUGUAACAUAAAACUUUGCAGCCAUAUAGGUUAAUACAUUGAAUGUACUGCCAAGUUACAUCUAAGGUGUUAUAAAAUACCUAUCAUACAUGCAUGUUGGCUUGUGCAGUGGUACUAAAUUAAUAUCUUGCAUAAAUCAAAAUUUAUCCUACUAUCAAAAGAUUGUGCUAUGUCGGCAAAUAUUAUAUGAUUUAAUUGGGCACCACCAAUUCAAUCAAUUCCCUUUGUUGAUUAUCCCGCUCAAAUUUAUUAAAUGUAAUGAUAUCUCUCAACAUUUCCACUUCUAGCCGCUCAAGUUGUCCGUAACCAGGGACACGGCUAAUCAAUGAGUUUUAUACAGUCUGCAGAGAUUGGUGCAUGUUCCCCACAAGACACAAUCAUCACUUUGUAGCUCCCACACUCAAUUGUACGGAAAUUGGGAGAUUGUGAUGAGGUCUUCCAGAAGAGUUUCCCUUAACUCUGAUAGUGCCCAUCCCACCUACAUAUCUACUAAACCAAGUUAGAUCACGUAGUAGUUGUGGCUGCACAUGUAAGCUAGUAGUAAUAAAAAGGUGGUUGAUCUCUUUGAGCCUGAUCGAAUGGCCCACUAGUUUGCUCUCCCAUAAUGGUAACACUGUACCUUGCCACCAUUUAUACUAUUUUGCCUAGGUAUUUCAUGAAACUAUGUUGGUCCUAUUUACUACAUUGCCAGUCACAUCUCAUCAUGAAUAUCACUUCACAUGAACCCCAUCCACUUUAGCAAAUAAAAUAUAAUAUUUCUACAAUGAUGGCGACAAGGAAGUAAGCUCAGACCUACUCAUUGAACUACACUAGGAUCAUACUACAUAUUUAUCAUACAUACUCCUACUCAUGCAUACUACUCAAAAGGGACUAAAUGCAUAGUAAAAUAUAGGUUCAUGUGCAUGAACAAGAGAUGGAACUUGUCUUGGUCUUCACUUGUAAUAGUACAAAGUCUGAUAAUAUUCUGCUUCGCUCUUUGGUCAAUCUGAUGUAAGUAAAUAACACUCAGUGAACAAGCAUGCCAUAUAGAAGAAUAAAAAAGAACACAAGAACAAAUAUGGCAUAGUAUAAAAGAACAACAACAUACUAAGUAUUAUAUCUAAUAUAGAUUCUUAUGAUGUUUUAGGAUAAAAGGAAAAGAAUUAACUCAAAAGAGUUAAUGAAAAUAAAGAUAUAGUUAAGCCAGGAUUCAAAUUUGAAUAAAUACAAAUGGCUUGAAUAUUUGAAACUAAGUUACAUAAUGGAUGAGGUUUUAGUAGAGAUUUAUGCAAAAACAAUCACCUGAAAAGGAUUUCUAGUUUACAAGUGAUGAUUAAAACAAGGCUUGAAUUCAAAUUUGAAUAUCCCUAAAAGUAUAAACUAAAGCUAGGGUUCAUUGGAUAAAAGUGAAUCAUAAGAAAACAAAAUGCAAAAUGAAUUAUUUGAGGAAUAAUUUUUUUGAAUUAUAGGAAUUCUAUGGUUUGAAUUCAAAAUUCAUAUUGAAUCAUGAAAAGUUUGAAAGUCUGGAUCAAGUGGUAUAUAUGAAUAAAGAAUAACCUAACGAUCAUAAUGCAGUAGAUUUCACUAAAUUUGGACAUUUGGUUUGAAAACAAGACCCUAUUAAAGGUUUAAAUACAAAUUUGAACACAAUCAAAUUUGUAUGUUCAAAAGAUGAAACCAAGUGUAGCAUAUGAUGAUGCAUUUCAUGAAUAUCAUUUUGCAAAAAGUUCCCUUGGAUUCAUACUUGGAGCUAAAAAGUUAUGACGGUUUUAAAUCUCAGGUACUUUUCUGCCAAAUUGCCAUAUAACUCUACGCGGCAUGAUAUUUUGAAUUUAAAUGGGGAACAACUGGCGACGUGAUAUUGCUCAGUAAAGGUUCGUUCAGGAAAUAUCAGGGGCUGUUGUAUAUGUGUCAAUGGACACAUGUGCUGCGUCCACGUCACGGGGUCGCGACGCUCAUUGGAAUCCCAGCAGGAGAAGGUGAAGACGGCGGCGGCCGGCGGCGGGCUCUGGUCGAAGUGGGCGCUGUCCUCCGUGGUCCUCCGCGUCAGCGAAGAGCACAAUGGGGCUCCCCUGGUCACAGUGAUCACUUUCAUAACUUAAAUGUCAUCGGGCAAAACUUGUGUCAACUACCGCUUGUGUCUGGAGCACGGGCGCGUCGGCAAGAUUCGCCGGACGCCAGGGUGGUCUUUUCCGUGUGGAUCUGCGCGAGUAAAUGGGUCAAAGAGGCGCGCCAUUGAGAGAGAGAGAGAGAGAGAGAUGGAGGUGCCUGUGGUGGUCAAUGGGGCCUACGGCCGCUAGAAUCAACCGUAGAAGCGAGUCUAGCUGGUGGAGCUUCCAGAGCUCAUAGAGCUCGACUCUGACGGAGGGUGUCUGGUAUUUAUAGGGGGUAUAUGUUGUCUGGGUCAGUGAGAUAAUCACGAAAUCGCGGCAAAGCUAAGCUAGCAACAAAUCGACGGGAUCAAGCUUAUACCAUGCAGGAGGAAGGGGAUGAUCCAUGGGGUCCACCCGUCGGCGACUCCAGGUAAGAGAGAAAGGGGGCAUGUGGUGGCCCUUAAUCUGAAGUGAGAUCGGACGGUCCAUGUUGCCUCAUGCCGCAUACUGAUUCGGCUGCUAAAACGGACAUGGCGUUAUCAAGUCUUGUGUUGGGAAUUCGUAGGGUUAGAAUUUAGAAACAGUGUUUGUAUGUGCAAUAUUACACAAGUACAACCUUGUGGCAUUAUCAACUCUUGCGUUGGGAAUUCACAUGGUUAGGAACAGUGUUUGCUCUAGAAUACAGUGAUGUACUGAUGUUCACUUGUAAUUUGCAGAAGGACAACUUGCAAUCAACCAUAGUAUUUGAUCCUGCCGGAGAUCUCUCAUUGUCUACUUGCAAUCUAGAAUACAGAUUCCAAAAUGAAUGUUCUAAUAUGUACCUUGGUCCCAGUCGAGGCCGAGCGAGGCGAGGUCGCUGAGGAUGGCCUCCUCGGAAUUCCUGGUGGUACUUGAAGAUCACGGUUCAAGCAUCCCCAAUGUGGAAUUUGCUGAUCGCCACAAGGGAAGCGGACGCUGAGCGGGUAGCUGGCGGCGGGCAAAGCACGGUCACGCCUAAAAAAGGAGCCUGAUGCGGAGCUACAACGGCGAAGAGGUGGGAGAGUGGCAACGACGAGCUAGGCCAGGCGGACGGGUGGCAGCCGGGGUCCGGGGCCGUGGGGAGCAACAACUAUGACCAUGGUCAGCCGGGGAUCCUCGCGCCGCCAUCUACACACGGGCGAGAGAUGGGAUUGGCGAGAUGCGUUCGGGAUUGAUGGAUUGUCAAAUCUUUCUAAAAAAACAUUCACACAGGGCCAUAAUUCCCUUGACUGAUAAUUUUAGUUAAUAGUUUAAAUCAACGGCUGAAAAUAAUUAGCAGGGGUUUGUGUAAUACAAGUUUAAGUUACGAAAUAUUGGGCUCUCACGGUUUAGAAAGAACAUGUUUCAAGACAAAUGUUGUAUUAGACCAAAAGAAUCUUCAUUAACAAAUCCUCCAAAAUGAAUCAGCAAAACACAAAGGCCGAAUACGUCCAACAUACACAUAACUACUUAAUUAUACACACAGAUAGUUGUACUUCUCUAUACAAUAACGUACACAUGUGCGUGCGACUGCCGAGAUGCACUCAAGCCACGACGUAGGCAACGACACGCAAAACAGCAAGGCCAAACUCCACGGCCUCCACAUUGGUUGCAGCAGAGACAGGUGUUGGCGGGGGAGUGUUGCUUGCACUUGGGCUGCAGGCUGGGGCGGGUGACGAAGAGGAGGAGCCUGGCAUGACAUCGAUUUUGACCUUCAUGCCGCCUGCACAAUGACUAGGGAAACCGCAGAUGAAGUAGCGGGUGCCGGUGGCGGUGAGGAAGACAACAUCAUUCUCGGAGUUGAAGGUGGUGACGGGGGCUGGCGGUGCUGCAGGAGUCAUAGUCUGCCUUGCUAACCUCGAGGACGUGGUGUGCCUGAUUGGAGUACUUGAAGACGAUUUGAUUGCUGGUUUAGAAGUUCCUAGAGGACGCCCAAGUGACGUAGUUGGUGUUGAGGUCCCAUGCGCUGCCCGGCUCGCCCAUGUUGUAGCUUUCCGCAGACGCAGUGCUCAGGACACCCAAGUGACGUAGUUGGUGCUAAGGUCCAAUGCGCCGCCCGUCUCGCCCACGUUGCAGGUUACCACAUGUUAGCUUAUAUAUUAGACCCGAGAUAUAUGUUAACAUGUGCUCCACUUAGAUAUGUAAUACUUCACUAAUUACAAGUUCAAUUGUAGCCUAUAAAUACAUAUUUUCAAGACAAAUCAAACAAUCAUGCUAAUUAUAUAUCUAAUCUAAGUAUAAACCUCUGCCUGCUACAAGUCAAAGUUAUGCAAGUCUAGCUUAUCAAAUUCUAGAAUGAACAUGUUUCUUGACAAAUAUUGUAUAAGAGAGACAAGAAAAAUCUUUAUUAAAGAAGAAGCCCGAAUACAUACAACCUACACAUAUAAUUACUUGGCUACACAUAUACUUGCUAGUAAUAAUUACUUGACUAUACAUGACUUUAUACAUGUAUGUGCAGCUGCACAAAUGAACUCAAGCCAUGAGGCCAGCAACGGCAAGCAAGGCGGCGAGGCCAAAGCCCGUAGCCUCCACAGAGAUGGCGGCGGAGAUAGGCGUCGGUGGGGGAGCGUUGCUUGCACUUGGGCCGCUGGCCGGGCCAGGCGACAAAGAGGAGGAGCUUGGCAUGGCAUCGAUCUUGACCUUCAUGCCACCCGCACAAUGGCCAGGAAAGCCGCAUAUGAAGUAGCGGGUGCCGGUGACGUUAAGGGCGAUGACAUCAUUCCCGAAGUUGAGGGUGGCAAUGGGGGUCGCAGUGCUGCAUGAGUCGUAGUCGGCCUUGCUGACCUCGACACUGGUAGAAAAAGGGCCUGUUGUCCCGGUUCGUAAGGGCCUUUUGUCCCGGUUCCUGAACCGGGACUAAAGGGUCGGUACUAAUGCCCUGUCCCUUUAGUCCCGGUUCAAUCCAGAACCGGGACAGAUGGGCCUCCACGUGGCCUGUGCGCGGAGCCCAGGCAGGAGACCCUUUGGUCCCGGUUGGUGGCACCAACCGGGACCAAUAGGCAUCCACGCGUCAGCAUUUCUGUGGCUGGGGUUUUUUUUUGAAGGGGGGAGGGGGUUGGGGUUUUUGGGGGGUUAAUUUAGGUGUUUCAUAUAUUGUGUUAGCUAGAUAUAAUUAAUAGAGAGAAGUGUCCUCUCUUAUGUCCGUGCUUGGUCGACGCUACGUACUAUACAUACGUAUAGAGAGGACUAGAUACGCUAGCUAGCUAGUAAGCAAACGAAGAAAACAGAAGAUCGUCAUGAACAUAUAUGCAUACAGAGAGAAGUGAUAUCGACCACCUCUCCUUCUCUGAGAGAUUGGUCGAACAACAAGUUCUCAUAUAUCUAUCCGACACUACCGGCUACAUAUAUACAAUAAUUAUCUCUUACAAAUAUAAUCAUACGGACUCAUGGUCCACAUAGUAUUCUCCGUCUUCAGCGAUCACGUGGUCAAGAAAGAAUGCCGCCAAUUCCUCUUGAAUUGCUCGCAUGUGAGCUGGUGCUAGGAGUUCAUCCCGCUUCCGAAACAUCUAAUUUGAAGAAGGGGGUCAAUACAUAUAUAUAUAUAUGAAUGAAUGAAACUCAACACAAAUGAUGGUAAUAAAAUAAAAUUGUGAAUGUUGUUAUUUACGUACUUCAUAUUGUUCGUCAGUAUAGCCCCGCUCACAGGUCGUGUGGCGAAUGGACUCGCACACGUAGUAUCCACAGAAAUCAUUCCCUUGUUCCUGCCACAACCACUUUACAAGAAAUAGAGGUCAAUCAAACUGAUAAGCAAGAAUGCCAAAUGGUAUUGAUGAAACUAGCGCUUGAAUCAAUAGGAGAAGCGCGGAACAUGCUACUAUAGUACUUACUUUCGGGUGUCUAAAUUGCAGCUUCUUCGGGAGUCCUGGAGCUUUUUUGGAGAAUUUUUUCCAAACCUUGCCAGAUAAAGAAAACAAUUACUUGAUAUAUCAGGAAAUGAACAAAGUUGCUGAUAUGGUGGAUAAUGAUCGAUUUAACUUACUUCUCGAGCAUUUGAGUCAUGUCCGCAUAGUCCUGGGGAUCUUUUCAUCUUGAGUCUAAGACGGUUACUAGUCCCUGCUCAAGCUUAAGCUCUAGGAGAAUAUAGUGGUAACUGCACACGCAUGCAUAACUCAUCAAUUACAUUACUAUAACCUUGACUAAUAUAUAAGGGAAACCGAAUACGCACAAGACAGUAACACUCACUUGAAGUUGUAAGGAAAGAGUAUUAUAUCUUUGUUUUCAUUUAUUACCAACGAUCGUAGCAAGUUGGCCUCGGUAUCUGCGGCAUGAAAUUUAACCUGAGUUGCAUCUAUGAGAUAUGUGUUAAUGAACCCAAUAUCACCGACUUGUCUUUUCUUCAAUUGGCGAUCUUCAAUCUGCAUAAUAUAGUGAGGAUGAUUAUAAAUACAUGCAAUGAAAGAGCUGAGGUAUAUAGAGAGACUUAAUGACAGAAGUAGUACUACUUACAGACAGUAGCAGGUGACCGUUGUUUUACCGAGGGCCAAUUGAUUGAAAAACUGAAAGAACUCCUCAAAUGGAACAGGCAACAGUUCAAUUCCAAUGAGGUCAUGCUCCUUUUUAACUUUCACAUACAAAGUACUCCUCCCCCCAGAGUCUCUGCAGAUUUUCAAGUACCAAUCAUGCAAUAUUCGCAUCAUCGUUGAUAGAGAUCUUUCAUCUUUGACGAGAGGCUUCCCGUACUCGUAUCUUUGUAUCUGCACCUCCAUGAAAUCAUAAUGUACAUCGUCGGGCAGGUAAUCGCCAAGAUUGCUAUAACCGGGCACCAUCCUCGGAUCAUUAGCGACGUUGUCGCUAGGCACCUUGAGCAGGGGGCACGAUUGCUUCGCUUGUUCGCCGAGCUAGGAAAUUUGUUUCCCAGCUCGUCGUUCUUUCAGCCUUUGAUCACUGACAGUACUUCCCGACCGCUCCGCUUCGGCAAAUUCCUUUCCAAUAAAGCGCUCAUAGUUUCCUUUCGGCGGAGACUUGGGUGGUUUUGUCAGGGCAACCAGAGUGCGCUUCACUUUCACCGGAUCUACCUUCUCCUCCGGAGGUGGAUGUUUCUUUGCUUUCACCCCUUCAAAGUAGUUCUUCACUUCUUCUCGUGCGAUCUCGGCGUUCUUCUCCGGGGUCCUCUCAUAUGGUAACUUCUCUGGAGUCUUCAGAGAAGGACCGAAUCUGUAUUUCCUCCCGCCUCUGGCUGUACUGCUAGACGCCGGUAGAGCAGACGGAGCGUUGUCUUCUUUACUUGCUUACGAGGCGGAGGAGAAGGACUACGACGCGCCGGAGCAGCCGGAGCGGCGGCAGGUCUCUUCCGCCCUUGCUGACGAGGCGGAAAAGGAGGAGGCUGGCUGCUCGGGCGCGUCGGCGCAGGCGGAGAAGGAGGCGGAGUGCCGCCACGUGCCGGAGAAGGAGCAUGUCGAGUGCCCUGAUCGUCACUCGCCGGAGGAGGAGGCGGUGGAGGAGGCGGCGUGCCCUGACUUGCCGGAGGAGGAGGCGGUGGAGGAGGCGGAGUGCCCUGACUUGCCGGAGGAGGAGGAGGAGGCGGAGGCGUCCGGUUCGGAAGGUUGAUGAGCUCCUUCCGCCAUAGGCAUGGAGUCUUCAGAGCAGACCCCAGCCUAGUCUCCCCUUCACCGGUAGGGUGGUCAACCUGGAGGUCCUCAAAUCCCUCCGUUAUUUCAUCCACCAUCACCCUAGCAUAUCCUUCUGGAAUCGGCCUGUAACGCCCUCGAUGCGGCUAUAGCUCCCACGUGUCGAGGCACGACUUAGAGGCAUAACCGCAUUGAAAGCAAUGUCGCAAGUCAGGCAAUCAUUACAACAUCCCAUGUAAUAUAUAAUAAAAAGGGGGAGAUAACAUAGUUGGCUUACACUCGCCACGUCACAUCAGAGUACAUAAAUAACAUCCAUCAAACAAACACUCAUGGCCCGACUACGGCGCCAAAAAUAGAAAGGAACCCAACAUACGACAAGGUCCUGAAUCGAUAACCCCAACUAGGCACCACUACUGAUCAUCCGGAAAAGAUACGUAGUAUCGCUGAGAGUCCUCGUCGAACUCCCACUUGAGCUCGUACUCAUCACCUGGAGCGGAAUCACCUGGACCUGCAUCUGGAGUUGUAGUAUCUGUGAGCCACCGGGACUCAGCAAUCUCACACCCACGCGAUCAAAACUAUUUAAGCUCAUGGGAAUGGAUAAGGCAAAUAUAGGUGGAGCUGCAGCAAGCGACUAGCAUUUGUGGUGGCUAACUUAUAAGCAAAAGAGAGCAAAAGAGAAGGCGAAGCACGAGCGAGAAGCUAAAGAAACAUCCUGCGCAAGCAUAACUCCAACACCGUGUCCACUUCCCGGACUCCGCCGAGAAGGGGCCAUCACGGUAACACACACGAUUGAUUCAUUUUAAUUAAGUUUAGUUCAAGUCAUCUACAACCGGACGUUAACAAAUUCCCAUCCGCCCAUAACCGCGGGCACGGCUUUCGAAAGAUCAAUCCCUGCAGGGGGGUCCCAACUUAGCCCAUAACAAGCUCUCACGGUCAACGAAGGAAUAGACCUCCACCCAAGACACACCGAUCAGACUCGGUAUCUCGGUACAACAAGAUGAUUCGACAGGUUAAAACAAGUCCAACAACACCGCCCGAAUGUGCCGACAAAUCCCGAUAGGAGCUGCACAUAUCUCUUUCUCAGGGCACGCUCGGAUAGGUCAAGCUACGAGUAAAACCAAACCUCAAGUUUCCCCGAGGUGGCCCCGCAGGCUGCCUGGUUCGGACCAACACUCAGAGGAGCACUGGCCCGGGGGGGUUAAAAUAAGAUGACCCUCGGGCUCCGGAAACCCAAGGGAAAAAGAGGCUAGGUGGCAAAUGGUAAAACCAAUGUUGGGCAUUGCUGGAAAAGCUUUAAUCAAGACGAACUAUCAAGGGGUUCCCAUUAUAGCCCAACCGCGUAAGGGACGCACAAUCCGGGAACAUAACACCGAUAUGACGGAAACUAGGGCGGCAAGAGUGGAACAAAACACUAGGCGAGAGGCCGAGCCUUCCACCCUUUACCAAGUAUAUAGAUGCAUUAAGAUAACAUAGCAAUAUAAUGAUAUCCCAACAGGUAAAUAAAUGUUCCAACAAGGAACGGCUCCAAUCUUCACCUGCAGCUAACAACGCUAUAAGAAGGGCUGAGCAAAGCGGUAACAUAGCCAAUCAACGGUUUGCUAGGACAAUGGUGGGUUAGAGGUUCAAUCAUGCAAUUGGGAGGCUGACAAGCAAAUGGUAGGCAUCGAAGCAGUGGCAAGCAAAAGAGCGAGCAAACUAGCAUAGCAAAGAUAGUAGUGAUUUCGAGGGUAUGAUCAUCUUGCCUGCACAGUUGUCAGAGUUGACUGGAUCCUCACAAGCAAACUCAACGGGCUCCUCGGUAGCGAACUCGUCUCCUGGCUCUACCCAAAGACAAACAAGCAACAAGGAUACAAUCAACCAGGGGCAAGACCAAGCAAUAUGAUGAAAUGACGAUAUGCUAUGCGGGAUGCGAUGCGGGAUGCAAAAUGCAAGAUAUGACAGGAAAUGCAUGAACCUGGCAUCAACUUGGAAAACCAAGUGUGCCACUGGAUAGAGGGGAUGAAAUCUCUUGAAAACGAUAUAAAGAUCAUAGGAAUCGGAGCUACGGUUUAGAAAUGGCAAGCGUUUUAAGAUAUGACACCGGUAUGCGAUUUGCAGCAAGUAGGCAUCUAAAUGCAACAAAAUGAACAUGCUACAGCCACCAAACAUGAAAACAAAAUACAUGGCAGUGAUGUACACAAGAUGGUUGACAAAACACUAGCACUGAGCCAUAGGCAAAUUCAUCCAUUAAGAGGUUCAAACAAGCAUGGCUAAAACGCAAAUGCAAAACAGAUUUCAGACUUAGUGAAAUUAACACUAGUCUGAAAUUUCAGAUCACGAUGCUCUCUUCGGAGCAGCAAAACAACAUGAUACAAAACCUGAACAUGACAAGUAUGAACAUGGCAUGGAGCUACUCAACAAGCUUAAUAAAACACCCAAAGUGACCUGUGGCCAAAAGGGUUCACAAAAUACUCUACCGAGCUCACGAACAUAGCUCGAACACAAUCAGUUUUCAGACUUAGUGAAAACUGAGACACGCUGAAAUAUAACUCACGAAGGCAUGUAAACGAGCUCGAUGCACUCACUACGGUGCAAGUCAUGGAAAGGAAAGCAUAUAACCAGCAAGAAGGCACAAAGUGCUAGCUACACAUGGCAAGAACAAAGGCAUAGCAUGCAUGGAACACUAACGGUAGCAUCGGCAAAAUCGCAAACAAGUUGACGAUCUGCCCAGAUUAACAACGAAGCAAAAGUUGAGCUCGAUUGAGUCAACCUAGAGCACUCCACAUAUGCCAACAAAGACAUGGAUGGAUAGAGCAUAACAUAAAUAUCAAAACUCCCUUACUGAUCAUCCUCAAAAGAGGCACGGAUCACUAGGAAACAAGCUGGACAUAUAGCAUCAUGAACUAAAAUAUCCCAGACUUAGUGAAAAUCACUAAGUCCCUGAAAUCUGCAAUCUCAGGUACCUCUCUUCGCAAGCUUGCACAAGACAACACACACAUCCUAAAAAUGCAUGGGUGGCACCUCUGGAAAGAAGACAAAAUGCUUCACAAUUCAUCCCAAAGGGGCACAGGCAUAUCAUGCACGAAUUAAACAUGACAAAAAUGACAAAAGUGCAUGAUGAACUAACGGAUCUGCGAUUUAACUCACGAAGCCUCCUUCUAACAGCAUUUUGGGUAUCAAGAUGACCUAAAAUGCAAAUGAUGCAAUGGAACGAAAUGAUGUACAUGUCGAGGCGAAGAUUUUGACAUAUCAUACGCCCAAAACGGAGCUACAGUUGCGGAGAUACAAGCAGUCAAAGUUAGCACGAAAAUUAGGGUUUCGGGGGAGAGAGGUCAACCCAGAUCUAGAUCCAGCCGCACUGUAGCAGUGGCGCGACUCCCGAGGUUCACCGGCCCGACUUGGAGCUCGCCGGCGUCGGACUUGGCGCGGAGGAGGGGCUCGCCGGCCGGGAGGGAGAGGGCGGCGGGGCCGGUGAGUCGCCGGCGGGGAGGCGCGGACGGCGGCGGGGUCGGCCGGCGUCGGGGAUGCCGCGNNNNNNNNNNNNNNNNNNNNNNNNNNNNNNNNNNNNNNNNNNNNNNNNNNNNNNNNNNNNNNNNNNNNNNNNNNNNNNNNNNNNNNNNNNNNNNNNNNNNNNNNNNNNNNNNNNNNNNNNNNNNNNNNNNNNNNNNNNNNNNNNNNNNNNNNNNNNNNNNNNNNNNNNNNNNNNNNNNNNNNNNNNNNNNNNNNNNNNNNNNNNNNNNNNNNNNNNNNNNNNNNNNNNNNNNNNNNNNNNNNNNNNNNNNNNNNNNNNNNNNNNNNNNNNNNNNNNNNNNNNNNNNNNNNNNNNNNNNNNNNNNNNNNNNNNNNNNNNNNNNNNNNNNNNNNNNNNNNNNNNNNNNNNNNNNNNNNNNNNNNNNNNNNNNNNNNNNNNNNNNNNNNNNNNNNNNNNNNNNNNNNNNNNNNNNNNNNNNNNNNNNNNNNNNNNNNNNNNNNNNNNNNNNNNNNNNNNNNNNNNNNNNNNNNNNNNNNNNNNNNNNNNNNNNNNNNNNNNNNNNNNNNNNNNNNNNNNNNNNNNNNNNNNNNNNNNNNNNNNNNNNNNNNNNNNNNNNNNNNNNNNNNNNNNNNNNNNNNNNNNNNNNNNNNNNNNNNNNNNNNNNNNNNNNNNNNNNNNNNNNNNNNNNNNNNNNNNNNNNNNNNNNNNNNNNNNNNNNNNNNNNNNNNNNNNNNNNNNNNNNNNNNNNNNNNNNNNNNNNNNNNNNNNNNNNNNNNNNNNNNNNNNNNNNNNNNNNNNNNNNNNNNNNNNNNNNNNNNNNNNNNNNNNNNNNNNNNNNNNNNNNNNNNNNNNNNNNNNNNNNNNNNNNNNNNNNNNNNNNNNNNNNNNNNNNNNNNNNNNNNNNNNNNNNNNNNNNNNNNNNNNNNNNNNNNNNNNNNNNNNNNNNNNNNNNNNNNNNNNNNNNNNNNNNNNNNNNNNNNNNNNNNNNNNNNNNNNNNNNNNNNNNNNNNNNNNNNNNNNNNNNNNNNNNNNNNNNNNNNNNNNNNNNNNNNNNNNNNNNNNNNNNNNNNNNNNNNNNNNNNNNNNNNNNNNNNNNNNNNNNNNNNNNNNNNNNNNNNNNNNNNNNNNNNNNNNNNNNNNNNNNNNNNNNNNNNNNNNNNNNNNNNNNNNNNNNNNNNNNNNNNNNNNNNNNNNNNNNNNNNNNNNNNNNNNNNNNNNNNNNNNNNNNNNNNNNNNNNNNNNNNNNNNNNNNNNNNNNNNNNNNNNNNNNNNNNNNNNNNNNNNNNNNNNNNNNNNNNNNNNNNNNNNNNNNNNNNNNNNNNNNNNNNNNNNNNNNNNNNNNNNNNNNNNNNNNNNNNNNNNNNNNNNNNNNNNNNNNNNNNNNNNNNNNNNNNNNNNNNNNNNNNNNNNNNNNNNNNNNNNNNNNNNNNNNNNNNNNNNNNNNNNNNNNNNNNNNNNNNNNNNNNNNNNNNNNNNNNNNNNNNNNNNNNNNNNNNNNNNNNNNNNNNNNNNNNNNNNNNNNNNNNNNNNNNNNNNNNNNNNNNNNNNNNNNNNNNNNNNNNNNNNNNNNNNNNNNNNNNNNNNNNNNNNNNNNNNNNNNNNNNNNNNNNNNNNNNNNNNNNNNNNNNNNNNNNNNNNNNNNNNNNNNNNNNNNNNNNNNNNNNNNNNNNNNNNNNNNNNNNNNNNNNNNNNNNNNNNNNNNNNNNNNNNNNNNNNNNNNNNNNNNNNNNNNNNNNNNNNNNNNNNNNNNNNNNNNNNNNNNNNNNNNNNNNNNNNNNNNNNNNNNNNNNNNNNNNNNNNNNNNNNNNNNNNNNNNNNNNNNNNNNNNNNNNNNNNNNNNNNNNNNNNNNNNNNNNNNNNNNNNNNNNNNNNNNNNNNNNNNNNNNNNNNNNNNNNNNNNNNNNNNNNNNNNNNNNNNNNNNNNNNNNNNNNNNNNNNNNNNNNNNNNNNNNNNNNNNNNNNNNNNNNNNNNNNNNNNNNNNNNNNNNNNNNNNNNNNNNNNNNNNNNNNNNNNNNNNNNNNNNNNNNNNNNNNNNNNNNNNNNNNNNNNNNNNNNNNNNNNNNNNNNNNNNNNNNNNNNNNNNNNNNNNNNNNNNNNNNNNNNNNNNNNNNNNNNNNNNNNNNNNNNNNNNNNNNNNNNNNNNNNNNNNNNNNNNNNNNNNNNNNNNNNNNNNNNNNNNNNNNNNNNNNNNNNNNNNNNNNNNNNNNNNNNNNNNNNNNNNNNNNNNNNNNNNNNNNNNNNNNNNNNNNNNNNNNNNNNNNNNNNNNNNNNNNNNNNNNNNNNNNNNNNNNNNNNNNNNNNNNNNNNNNNNNNNNNNNNNNNNNNNNNNNNNNNNNNNNNNNNNNNNNNNNNNNNNNNNNNNNNNNNNNNNNNNNNNNNNNNNNNNNNNNNNNNNNNNNNNNNNNNNNNNNNNNNNNNNNNNNNNNNNNNNNNNNNNNNNNNNNNNNNNNNNNNNNNNNNNNNNNNNNNNNNNNNNNNNNNNNNNNNNNNNNNNNNNNNNNNNNNNNNNNNNNNNNNNNNNUUCUGUGAUUAAGUCAUUACCCAGCAGCUGACGUUCACCGGUUUCAGACCAGUUGAGAGGGGUACGGCACUUCCUGCCAUAUAGGAUUUCAAAGGGGGCCUUGCCCGAACUUGCUUGAAAACUGUUGUUGUAUGAGAAUUCAGCAUAAGGAAGACAGUCCUCCCACUUCAUGCCGAAGGAGAUCACACAAGCCCUGAGCAUGUCUUCAAGAAUUUGGUUGACACGCUCGACUUGACCGCUUGUUUGAGGAUGGAAAGCUGUGCUGAAGCGGAUGUUGGUGCCCAUGGCCUUCUGAAAAGAAUCCCAAAACUUGGAGGUAAAGAUGCUGCCACGGUCUGAAGAUAUCACUUGAGGAAUACCGUGCAGAGAGACAAUGCGAGAGGUAUAGAGUUCCGCCAAUUGAGCUGCAGAGAUCGACUCUUUGAUAGGCAGAAAAUGAGCCACUUUGGUGAGCUUGUCGAUGACAACGAAGAUAGCAUCAUUGCCACGCUUGGACUUUGGAAACCCAGUCACGAAGUCCAUUUCAAUGUGGUCAAACUUCCAUUCUGGAAUGGCAAGAGGUUGGAGGAGACCUGCUGGCCUUUGGUGUUCUGCCUUCACUCUUCUGCAGACAUCACACUCGUUCACGAAUUGAGCGAUCUCGCGCUUCAUUCGAGUCCACCAAUAAGUUUGCUUGAGAUCCUGAUACAUCUUCGUACUACCAGGGUGGAUGGAGAGGAGAGAGUUGUGAGCCUCGUUCAUGAUCACCUUACGAAGUUCACCUUUGGGCACAACAAUUCGAUCCUCGAAGAAGAGAGCGUCCUUGUCAUCAAGUCGGUAGCACUUGUACUUGGACUGACUCUUUGCAAUACCAAUCUUCACCUUCUUCACCAUAGCAUCAAGAAGUUGGGCUUGGCGAAUCUGGUCUUCCAAGGUAGGAGAAACUUGAAGGUUGGCGAGGAAACCUUGAGGAACAACUUGCAGAUUAAGCUUGCGGAAAGCUUCACAAAGCUCGGGUUGAUAAGGCUUGAGAAUCAGACUGUUGCAAUAUGCUUUUCUGCUCAAAGCGUCAGCAAUCACAUUAGCCUUGCCUGGAGUAUACUCGAUACUCGGAUUGUACUCUUGAAUCAUUUCGACCCAUCGAGUCUGCCUGAGGUUGAGAUUAGGCUGAGUGAAGAUGUACUUGAGACUCUUGUGAUCAGUGAAAAUGUCCACUUUCCUUCCCAAUAGAAGAUGUCUCCAAGUCAACAAAGCAUGCACAACUGCCGCCAACUCGAGAUCAUGAGUGGGGUAGUUCUUCUCAUUAGGUUUCAACUAGCGAGAGGUAUAAGCAACAACUUUCUUCUCUUGCAUCAGUACAGCACCGAGACCUUGGAGAGAGGCAUCACAAAAAACCUCGUACGGCUUGGUUUCAUCAGGCGGAGUUAGAAUUGGAGCAGUGAUCAAUUUCUGUGAUUAAGUCAUUACCCAGCAGCUGACGUUCACCGGUUUCAGACCAGUUGAGAGGGGUACGGCACUUCCUGCCAUAUAGGAUUUCAAAGGGGGCCUUGCCCGAACUUGCUUGAAAACUGUUGUUGUAUGAGAAUUCAGCAUAAGGAAGACAGUCCUCCCACUUCAUGCCGAAGGAGAUCACACAAGCCCUGAGCAUGUCUUCAAGAAUUUGGUUGACACGCUCGACUUGACCGCUUGUUUGAGGAUGGAAAGCUGUGCUGAAGCGGAUGUUGGUGCCCAUGGCCUUCUGAAAAGAAUCCCAAAACUUGGAGGUAAAGAUGCUGCCACGGUCUGAAGAUAUCACUUGAGGAAUACCGUGCAGAGAGACAAUGCGAGAGGUAUAGAGUUCCGCCAAUUGAGCUGCAGAGAUCGACUCUUUGAUAGGCAGAAAAUGAGCCACUUUGGUGAGCUUGUCGAUGACAACGAAGAUAGCAUCAUUGCCACGCUUGGACUUUGGAAACCCAGUCACGAAGUCCAUUUCAAUGUGGUCAAACUUCCAUUCUGGAAUGGCAAGAGGUUGGAGGAGACCUGCUGGCCUUUGGUGUUCUGCCUUCACUCUUCUGCAGACAUCACACUCGUUCACGAAUUGAGCGAUCUCGCGCUUCAUUCGAGUCCACCAAUAAGUUUGCUUGAGAUCCUGAUACAUCUUCAUACUACCAGGGUGGAUGGAGAGGAGAGAGUUGUGAGCCUCGUUCAUGAUCACCUUACGAAGUUCACCUUUGGGCACAACAAUUCGAUCCUCGAAGAAGAGAGUGUCCUUGUCAUCAAGUCGGUAGCACUUGUACUUGGACUGACUCUUUGCAAUACCAAUCUUCACCUUCUUCACCAUAGCAUCAAGAAGUUGGGCUUGGCGAAUCUGGUCUUCCAAGGUAGGAGAAACUUGAAGGUUGGCGAGGAAACCUUGAGGAACAACUUGCAGAUUAAGCUUGCGGAAAGCUUCACAAAGCUCGGGUUGAUAAGGCUUGAGAAUCAGACUGUUGCAAUAUGCUUUUCUGCUCAAAGCGUCAGCAAUCACAUUAGCCUUGCCUGGAGUAUACUCGAUACUCGGAUUGUACUCUUGAAUCAUUUCGACCCAUCGAGUCUGCCUGAGGUUGAGAUUAGGCUGAGUGAAGAUGUACUUGAGACUCUUGUGAUCAGUGAAAAUGUCCACUUUCCUUCCCAAUAGAAGAUCUCUCCAAGUCAACAAAGCAUGCACAACUGCCGCCAACUCGAGAUCAUGAGUGGGGUAGUUCUUCUCAUUAGGUUUCAACUAGCGAGAGGUAUAAGCAACAACUUUCUUCUCUUGCAUCAGUACAGCACCGAGACCUUGGAGAGAGGCAUCACAAAAAACCUCGUACGGCUUGGUUUCAUCAGGCGGAGUUAGAAUUGGAGCAGUGAUCAAUUUCUCUUUCAAAGAGUUGAAAGCAAUAUCACACUCCGGAGACCAAACGUACUUGACGUGCUUCUGAAGAAGAUUUGAGAGAGGCUUGGCGAUCUUAGAAAAGUUUUCAACGAAUCUUCUGCAAUAGCUUGCGAGACCGAGGAAACUGCGGAGUUGCUUCACGUUCUGAGGAGGUUCCCAAUUCACAAUUGCAGACACCUUCUCAGGAUUCACGGAAAUGCCCUUGGCAGAGAUGAUAUGACCAAGAUAAAGAACCUCAUCGAGCCAAAAUUCACACUUGGAGAACUUGGCGUAGAACUGAUGUUCUCUGAGCUUGUCAAGAACCAAACGCAAGUGCUUGGCAUGAUCUUUCUUGUUCUUCGAGAAAACCAGAAUGUCGUCGAGAUAGACCAAAACGAAUUCAUUGGUGUAGGGGUUGAAGAUGAAGUUCAUCAUGCGAGAGAACGUCGGAGGAGCGUUGGCGAGGCCAAAAGACAUGACGGUGUAUUCAUAUGAACCAAAACUUGUUCUGAACGCCGUCUUGGGAAUAUCUUGCUCACGAAUACGAAUCUGAUGAUAACCCAUACGGAGAUCAAGCUUGGAGAAUACUUGAGCACCCUUGAGUUGUUUGAACAGCUCAUUGAUGUUGGGAAGUGGGUAUUUGUUCUUGAUGGUCUUCUUGUUUACUGGACGGUAAUCAACACAAAGUCGACUCGAUCCAUCCUUCUUCUUCACAAAAAGAACACCACAACCCCACGGAGAAGUACUAGGCCGAAUGAGACCCAAUCUUUCUUGCUCAUCGAGUUGUUUCUUCAACUCCUUCAACUCUUCGGGGCCGAGCUUGUAAGGACGUUUGCACACAGGUUCCGUACCGGGCUCAAGUUCAAUAACAAAUUCAACUGGCCGGUGCGGAGGCAUUCCUGGGAGCUCUUCUGGAAAGACGUCUUGAUACUCACAGACAACCGGAAUCUGCGAAAUAGCAUCCAAUUCACCCUUCUCAUUGAGAGAAAACAACCGGAUGGAAUUAUCCCGAGCGGCAAAGACAAUGACAUCCUCAGACGAAUGAGUCAGUUGAAUCUGCCUGGCUGCACAAUCAAGCUGAGCUUUAUGCUUAGAGAGCCAGUCCAUCCCGAGAAUAAGAUCGAUAUCCGAGUUACCAAGAACCAUAGGAGAAGCAAGAAAAUUGAAAUCGCCCAUCGUGAUAGCGACAUCUGGCACCUCCAGACUUGCGCUCAAACGUUUGCCAGGAGAAAUGAUAUCCAUAUGUUUACCCAAAUGAGAAGAAACGAACUCAUGCUUGGUAAAAAAUGGCUUUGACAUGAAACAAUGCGAUGCACCCGUGUCAAAAAGAACUUUUGCAGGAAUAUCAUUAAUAGGAAGGUUACCCAUGAUCACAUCUGAAGAAUCCUCUGCCUGAGCUGCAUUCAGCAUAUUGACCUUGGCGUGCUUGGGAUUAUGCUUGACCACAGCUGUACUUGCCGAUCUGACAGGAGGAGGAGGAGGAAGACGCCUCUGGUUGGUACACUUGUUGGCAUAGUGACCCUUCUGUUGACACUUGUUGCACGUGACCUCUGAAAGCGGACGGUGAUACGGAGCACUCGAUCUUGGCGCUUGAGACGAAGACUUGUUCUGAAAGCCUGGGUUGGGUGGGUGGGAGAAACCACUGCCACCUGUGCUCUUCUGCUGAUACGGCUGACGGAACGGAGGAGGGGGAAGCCAAUACUUCUGCUGCUUGACCACUUGAGUAGAGGAAGAAGGAGUAACAUCUCUGGCACGCUUCCUGGAAGCAUCACAUCUCAUCUGAGCAGCCUCUUGCUUCAGUGCCAUGUUGUAGAACUCAUCGUAUCUCAACGGCUCAAAGAGGACAAGAGCGAGCUGAAUUUCCUCACGAAGACCACCCCUGAACUGAUAGAUCAUGCUCUUCUCAUCAGGAACAUCCUGCUUGGCAAAACGGGCGAGCUUCUGGAACAACUUGUUGUAGUCAUAGACAGACAAAGAGCCUUGCUUCAGAUUGCGGAAUUCCUGACGCUUACUCUCAACCACACUUUGAGGGAUGUGAUGAGCGCGGAAAUCUUGACGGAAAUCGUCCCAAGUGAUAACACGUCCACCUCUGGAAUCCUUGUACUGCUGGAACCACUCUGCAGCCUGAUCUUUGAGCUGGAAAGAAGCGAACUUGACGAAAUCUUCAGGCCUGACGUUGCUACAUUCAAAAUGCUUGCCCAGAUCCACUAGCCAAUCGUCAGCAUCGGUAGCCUCAACACAACCGCUGAACGUCUUUGGGCCAUUUGCGAGGAACUGGUUCAGAGUAGCAAAGUGGUGCUGAUUAUGGCCUUGAUUCCCUUGACUUCCUUGAUUGCGCUCUUGAAGGAUUUGCAUGAUCAACUGUGUAUUUGCAUUAGUAGCGGCCAUCACAGCUUGCCAUGCUUCCGGAGGAGGCGGAGGUGGAGGCGGAUCAGGAUUCGGAGUCGUGCGCGUUGGAGGAGCCAUCCUGAAGAGGUUGACCACCAUUAGCACAUAGAUAGACAACAAUAUAGAAGCUGAAUCCAACGGAAUGAAAAUUGCAACAUAUAGUCUUCACAUCCGAACAAAAUGAACGAAUGCAUUCCUCUUCAAAUGGUCACAUAUCCAUAAAUUGAGAAGCCACGAAGAAUUAAGGAAGAGAAAUAAUUCAACAAGGUACGGAUCAAGAACGAAUAAUCGGUAAGAAAUCCCAAUCUCAAACCAAUAUCCGUGGAAGAAGAACUAGAGCUACUAGAAUUCCCACCUAUGAAAUUCCCGAACCUUUCCGGUUAUGCAAUCAGGUGUUGGGGAUAUAGGGGAAGCACAAUAUCUCACCCAAACUAGCAAAUCCUACAUCCAGCUGUAUCCAUCCUUCAACACAUAACCAGGAAAACUUCGGAAACCAUCUACCUCAACCUUCGAAAAGCAUCCGUUAUACAAGUUAUGGCGAUACUCCCGAACUCCCGCCCCAGUACUGGGUGGCGUCGAGGUUAUCUCACCAACGAACUGCAUAAAAGAGAUUUUCGAUGUCGGCGAACAUAUCUCAAGUAUACCAGAAUUGCAACGAUAAAAUUGUGACGACAACACCUCGGAGCUCAACUCCCCGGGACACUGCCACAACCCCUAAAGACAGGAGGCACCAAGAACAAUGUUCUCGUCACAAAACCAUCGGAACAAAACCAAGAUACUCGCGUGAUCCUAAAAUUUUUUUUUAGUGAAAUUUGAGAAGAGAAGAGUCAAAACUCUACGCCAGGAUGCCUUACCAGAGCGAUGAGGAGACUGGGAAGUAAAAAGAAUUCCUAAGCUCUCCGAUAUAUAAUUCCUAAGGACUCAAAACAUUUUUCUAGACACAACUCGGCUGCUAAAACGAUCAAGCAAUGGGGCUCCUAAGGUCGGGGAAGGCUCUGAUACCCAACUUGUAACGCCCUCGAUGCGGCUAUAGCUCCCACGUGUCGAGGCACGACUUAGAGGCAUAACCGCAUUGAAAGCAAUGUCGCAAGUCAGGCAAUCAUUACAACAUCCCAUGUAAUAUAUAAUAAAAAGGGGGAGAUAACAUAGUUGGCUUACACUCGCCACGUCACAUCAGAGUACAUAAAUAACAUCCAUCAAACAAACACUCAUGGCCCGACUACGGCGCCAAAAAUAGAAAAGAACCCAACAUGCGACAAGGUCCUGAAUCGAUAACCCCAACUAGGCACCACUACUGAUCAUCCGGAAAAGAUACGUAGUAUCGCUGAGAGUCCUCGUCGAACUCCCACUUGAGCUCGUACUCGUCACCUGGAGCGGAAUCACCUGGACCUGCAUCUGGAGUUGUAGUAUCUGUGAGCCACCGGGACUCAGCAAUCUCACACCCACGCGAUCAAAACUAUUUAAGCUCAUGGGAAUGGAUAAGGCAAAUAUAGGUGGAGCUGCAGCAAGCGACUAGCAUAUGUGGUGGCUAACUUAUAAGCAAAAGAGAGCGAGAAGAGAAGGCGAAGCACGAGCGAGAAGCUAAAGAAACAUCCUGCGCAAGCAUAACUCCAACACCGUGUCCACUUCCCGGACUCCGCCGAGAAGGGGCCAUCACGGUAACACACACGAUUGAUUCAUUUUAAUUAAGUUUAGUUCAAGUCAUCUACAACCGGACGUUAACAAAUUCCCAUCCGCCCAUAACCGCGGGCACGGCUUUCGAAAGAUCAAUCCCUGCAGGGGGGUCCCAACUUAGCCCAUAACAAGCUCUCACGGUCAAUGAAGGAAUAGACCUCCACCCAAGACACACCGAUCAGACUCGGUAUCUCGGUACAACAAGAUGAUUCGACAGGUUAAAACAAGUCCAGCAACACCGCCCGAAUGUGCCGACAAAUCCCGAUAGGAGCUGCACAUAUCUCUUUCUCAGGGCACGCUCGGAUAGGUCAAGCUACGAGUAAAACCAAACCUCAAGUUUCCCCGAGGUGGCCCCGCAGGCUGCCUGGUUCGGACCAACACUCAGAGGAGCACUGGCCCGGGGGGGUUAAAAUAAGAUGACCCUCGGGCUCCGGAAACCCAAGGGAAAAAGAGGCUAGGUGGCAAAUGGUAAAACCAAUGUUGGGCAUUGCUGGAAAAGCUUUAAUCAAGGCGAACUAUCAAGGGGUUCCCAUUAUAGCCCAACCGCGUAAGGGACGCACAAUCCGGGAACAUAACACCGAUAUGACGGAAACUAGGGCGGCAAGAGUGGAACAAAUCACUAGGCGAGAGGCCGAGCCUUCCACCCUUUACCAAGUAUAUAGGUGCAUUAAGAUAACAUAGCAAUAUAAUGAUAUCCCAACAAGAAUAUAAAUGUUCCAACAAGGAACGGCUCCAAUCUUCACCUGCAACUAACAACGCUAUAAGAAGGGCUGAGCAAAGCGGUAACAUAGCCAAUCAACGGUUUGCUAGGACAAUGGUGGGUUAGAGGUUCAACAUGGCAAUUGGGAGGCUGACAAGCAAAAGGUAGGCAUCGUAGCAGUGGCAAAGCAAAAGAGCGAGCAAACUAGCAUAGCAAAGAUAGUAGUGAUUUCGAGGGUAUGAUCAUCUUGCCUGCACAGUUGUCAGAGUUGACUGGAUCCUCACAAGCAAACUCAACGGGCUCCUCGGUAGCAAACUCGUCUCCCGGCUCUACCCAACAAGACAAACAAGCAACAAGGAUACAAUCAACCACGGGCAAGACCAAGCAAUAUGAUGAAAUGACGAUAUGCUAUGCGGGAUGCGAUGCGGGAUGCAGAAUGCAAGAUAUGACAGGAAAUGCAUGAACCUGGCAUCAACUUGGAAAACCAAGUGUGCCACUGGAUAGAGGGGAUGAAAUCGCUUGAAAACGAUAUAAAGAUCAUAGGAAUCAGAGCUACGGUUUGGAAAUGGCAAGCGUUUUAAGAUACGACACCGGUCUGCGAUUUACAGCAAGUAGGCAUCUAAAUGCAACGAAAUGAGCAUGCUACAGCCACCAAACAUGAAAACAAAAUACAUGGCAGCGAAGUACACAAGAUGGUUGACAAAACACUAGCACUGAGCCAUAGGCAAAUUCAUCCAUUAAGAGGUUCAAACAAGCAUGGCUAAAACGCAAAUGCAAAACAGAUUUCAGACUUAGUGAAACUAACACUAGUCUGAAAUUUCAGAUCACGAUGCUCUCUUCGGAGCAGCAAAACAACAUGAUAGAAAACCUGAACAUGACAAGUAAGAACAUGGCAUGGAGCUACUCAACAGGCUUAAUAAAACACCCAAAGUGACCUGGGGCCAAAAGGGUUCACAAAAUACUCUACCGAGCUCACGAACAUCGCUCGAACACAAUCAGUUUUCAGACUUAGUGGAAACUGAGACAUGCUGAAAUUUAACUCACGAAGGCAUGUAAACGAGCUCGAUGCACUCACUACGGUGCAAGUCAUGGCAAGGAAAGCAUAUAACCAGCAAGAAGGCACAAAUUGAUAGCUACACAUGGCAAGAACGAAGGCAUAACAUGCAUGGAACACUAACGGUAGCAUCGGCUAAAUCGCAAACAAGUUGACGAUCUGCCCGGAUUAACAACGAAGCAAAAGUUGAGCUCGAUUGAGUCAACCUAGAGCACUCCACAAAUGCCAACAAAGACAUGGAUGGAUAGAGCAUAACUUAAAUAUCAAAACUCCCUUACUGAUCAUCCUCAAAAGAGGCACGGAUCACUAGGAAACAAGCUGGACAUAUAGCAUCAUGAACUAAAAUAUCUCAGACUUAGUGAAAAUCACUAAGUCCCUGAAAUCUGCAAUCUCAGGUACCUCUCUUCGCAAGCUUGCACAAGACAACACACACAUCCUAAAAAUGCAUGGGUGGCACCUCUGGAAAGAAGACAAAAUGCUUCACAAUACACCCCAAAGGGGCACAGGCAUAUCAUGCACGGAUUAAAUAUAGAAAAAAUGACAAAAGUGCAUGAUGAACUAACGGAUCUGCAAUUUAACUCACGAAGCCUCCUUCUACCAGCAUUUUGGGUAUCAAGAUGACCUCAAAUGCAAAUGAUGCAAUGGAAUGAAAUGAUUUACAUGUCGAGACGAAGAUUUUGACAUAUCAUACGCCUAAAACGGAGCUACGGUUGCGGAGAUACAAGCAGUCAAAGUUUGCUUAAAAAAAUUACGGGGAGAGGAAAAAGUCAACCCUCAGUUUAGAUCCGAGAUCUAGGGAUCAGAGCCAGGUUAUUUAACUCCCAGGAUCGAAACCUGGCUCUGAUACCAACUUGUAACGCCCUCGAUGCGGCUAUAGCUCCCACGUGUCGAGGCACGACUUAGAGGCAUAACCGCAUUGAAAGCAAUGUCGCAAGUCAGGCAAUCAUUACAACAUCCCAUGCAAUACAUAAUAAAAGGGGGAGAUAACAUAGUUGGCUUACACUCGCCACGUCACAUCAGAGUACAUAAAUAACAUCCAACAAACAAACACUCAUGGCCCGACUACGGCGCCAAAAUAGAAAAGACCCCCAACAUGCGACAAGGUCCUGAAUCGAUAACCCCAACUAGGCACCACUACUGAUCAUCCGGAAAAGACACAUAGUAUCGCUGAGAGUCCUCGUCGAACUCCCACCUGAGCUCGUAAUCGUCAACUGGAGCGGAAUCACCUGGACCUGCAUCUGGAGUUGUAGUAUCUGUGAGCCACAGGGACUCAGCAAUCUCACACCCGCGCGAUCAAAACUAUUUAAGCUCAUAGGAAUGGAUAAGGCAAAUAUAUGUGGAGCUGCAGCAAGCGACUAGCAUAUGUGGUGGCUAACUUAUACGCAAAAGAGAGCGAGAAGAGAAGGCGAAGCACGAGCGAGAAGCUAAAGGAACAUCCUGCGCAAGCAUAACUCCAACACCGUGUCCACUUCCCGGACUCCGCCGAGAAGGGGCCAUCACGGUAACACACACGAUUGAUUCAUUUUAAUUAAGUUUAGUUCAAGUCAUCUACAACCGGACAUUAACAAAUUCCCAUCCGCCCAUAACCGCGGGCACGGCUUUCGAAAGAUCAAUCCCUGCAGGGGGGUCCCAACUUAGCCCAUAACAAGCUCUCACGGUCAACGAAGGAAUAGACCUCCACCCAAGACACACCGAUCAGACUCGGUAUCUCGGUACAACAAGAUGAUUCGACAGGUUAAAACAAGUCCAGCAACACCGCCCGAAUGUGCCGACAAAUCCCGAUAGGAGCUGCACAUAUCUCUUUCUCAGGGCACGCUCGGAUAGGUCAAGCUACGAGUAAAACCAAACCUCAAGUUUCCCCGAGGUGGCCCCGCAGGCUGCCUGGUUCGGACCAACACUCAGAGGAGCACUGGCCCGGGGGGGGGGUUAAAAUAAGAUGACCCUCGGGCUCCGGAAACCCAAGGGAAAAAGAGGCUAGGUGACAAAUGGUAAAACCAAUGUUGGGCAUUGCUGGAAAAGCUUUAAUCAAGACGAACUAUCAAGGGGUUCCCAUUAUAGCCCAACCGCGUAAGGGACGCACAAUCCGGGAACAUAACACCGAUAUGACGGAAACUAGGGCGGCAAGAGUGGAACAAAACACUAGGCGAGAGGCCGAGCCUUCCACCCUUUACCAAGUAUAUAGAUGCAUUAAGAUAACAUAGCAAUAUAAUGAUAUCCCAACAGGUAAAUAAAUGUUCCAACAAGGAACGGCUCCAAUCUUCACCUGCAGCUAACAACGCUAUAAGAAGGGCUGAGCAAAGCGGUAACAUAGCCAAUCAACGGUUUGCUAGGACAAUGGUGGGUUAGAGGUUCAAUCAUGCAAUUGGGAGGCUGACAAGCAAAUGGUAGGCAUCGAAGCAGUGGCAAGCAAAAGAGCGAGCAAACUAGCAUAGCAAAGAUAGUAGUGAUUUCGAGGGUAUGAUCAUCUUGCCUGCACAGUUGUCAGAGUUGACUGGAUCCUCACAAGCAAACUCAACGGGCUCCUCGGUAGCGAACUCGUCUCCUGGCUCUACCCAAAGACAAACAAGCAACAAGGAUACAAUCAACCAGGGGCAAGACCAAGCAAUAUGAUGAAAUGACGAUAUGCUAUGCGGGAUGCGAUGCGGGAUGCAAAAUGCAAGAUAUGACAGGAAAUGCAUGAACCUGGCAUCAACUUAGAAAACCAAGUGUGCCACUGGAUAGAGGGGAUGAAAUCGCUUGAAAACGAUAUAAAGAUCAUAGGAAUCGGAGCUACGGUUUAGAAAUGGCAAGCGUUUUAAGAUAUGACACCGGUAUGCGAUUUGCAGCAAGUAGGCAUCUAAAUGCGACGAAAUGAACAUGCUACAGCCACCAAACAUGAAAACAAAAUACAUGGCAGUGAUGUACACAAGAUGGUUGAAAAAACACUAGCACUGAGCCAUAGGCAAAUUCAUCCAUUAAGAGGUUCAAACAAGCGUGGCUAAAACGCAAAUGCAAAACAGAUUUCAGACUUAGUGAAAUUAACACUAGUCUGAAAUUUCAGAUCACGAUGCUCUCUUCGGAGCAGCAAAACAACAUGAUACAAAACCUGAACAUGACAAGUACGAACAUGGCAUGGAGCUACUCAACAAGCUUAAUAAAACACCCAAAGUGACCUGGGGCCAAAAGGGUUCACAAAAUACUCUACCGAGCUCACGAACAUAGCUCGAACACAAUCAGUUUUCAGACUUAGUGAAAACUGAGACACGCUGAAAUAUAACUCACGAAGGCAUGUAAACGAGCUCGAUGCACUCACUACGGUGCAAGUCAUGGCAAGGAAAGCAUAUAACCAGCAAGAAGGCACAAAGUGCUAGCUACACAUGGCAAGAAAAAAGGCAUAGCAUGCAUGGAACACUAACGGUAGCAUCGGCAAAAUCGCAAACAAGUUGACGAUCUGCCCAGAUUAACAACGAAGCAAAAGUUGAGCUCGAUUGAGUCAACCUAGAGCACUCCACAUAUGCCAACAAAGACAUGGAUGGAUAGAGCAUAACAUAAAUAUCAAAACUCCCUUACUGAUCAUCCUCAAAAGAGGCACGGAUCACUAGGAAACAAGCUGGACAUAUAGCAUCAUGAACUAAAAUAUCCCAGACUUAGUGAAAAUCACUAAGUCCCUGAAAUCUGCAAUCUCAGGUACCUCUCUUCGCAAGCUUGCACAAGACAACACACACAUCCUAAAAAUGCAUGGGUGGCACCUCUGGAAAGAAGACAAAAUGCUUCACAAUUCAUCCCAAAGGGGCACAGGCAUAUCAUGCAUGAAUUAAACAUGACAAAAAUGACAAAAGUGCAUGAUGAACUAACGGAUCUGCGAUUUAACUCACGAAGCCUCCUUCUAACAGCAUUUUGGGUAUCAAGAUGACCUAAAAUGCAAAUGAUGCAAUGGAACGAAAUGAUGUACAUGUCGAGACGAAUAUUUUGACAUAUCAUACGCCCAAAACGGAGCUACGGUUGCGGAGAUACAAGCAGUCAAAGAUAGCACGAAAAUUAGGGUUUCGGGGGAGAGAGGUCAACCCAGAUCUAGAUCCAGCCGCACUGUAGCAGUGGCGCGACUCCCGAGGUUCACCGGCCCGACUUGGAGCUCGCCGGCGUCGGACUUGGCGCGGAGGAGGGGCUCGCCGGCCGGGGGGGAGAGGGCGGCGGGGCCGGNNNNNNNNNNNNNNNNNNNNNNNNNNNNNNNNNNNNNNNNNNNNNNNNNNNNNNNNNNNNNNNNNNNNNNNNNNNNNNNNNNNNNNNNNNNNNNNNNNNNNNNNNNNNNNNNNNNNNNNNNNNNNNNNNNNNNNNNNNNNNNNNNNNNNNNNNNNNNNNNNNNNNNNNNNNNNNNNNNNNNNNNNNNNNNNNNNNNNNNNNNNNNNNNNNNNNNNNNNNNNNNNNNNNNNNNNNNNNNNNNNNNNNNNNNNNNNNNNNNNNNNNNNNNNNNNNNNNNNNNNNNNNNNNNNNNNNNNNNNNNNNNNNNNNNNNNNNNNNNNNNNNNNNNNNNNNNNNNNNNNNNNNNNNNNNNNNCGGCGGCGGGGAGGCGGCCCGCGGCGGCGCCGGUCACCGGCGUCGGGGAAGGAGGCGGCGCAGGCGUCGGGGACGGGCGCGGAGAGCGGCGGCGCGGAGCCGGGCCGCGGGGGCCGGCCUCGGGCUCCCGGGCCUCGGCGGCGGCGAUGUGGGCCUCGGCCACGUGGCGGCGCGGGACUCGCUGCGGCGGCGGGGCGGACGUUGUCCGGUCGGAUCCGGACACGUCCGUCGGUGGCGGGGUUGAUCUGUUUUUUUUUAGGGUUUCGGGGAGAGGGAGAGAUCCGAAAACGGAGGGGUGUAUAUAUAGGCAUAGAGGGAGCUAGGAGAGUCCAAAAGAGGUGCGGUUUUCGCCCACACGAUUGUGAUCGAACGCACUAGGACAUGGAGCAGAGUUUGGUGGGUUUUGGGCCAAAUUUGGGGGGUGUUGGGCUGCAACACACACGAGGCCUUUUCGGUCCCUCGGUUAACCGUUGGAGUAUCAAACGAAGUCCAAAUGAUACGAAACUUGACAGGCGGUCUACCGGUAGUAAACCAAGGCCGCUUGACAAGUCUCGGUCCAAUCCGGAAAUGUUUAAUCCCCACACAAGAAAGAAAGCUAGAAAUGGCCACCGGAGGAGAACGAAGCGCCGGAAUGCAAAACGGACAACGGGGAAAAUGCUCGAAUGCUUGAGAUGAACAUGUAUGCAAAUGCAAUGCACGAGAUGACAUGGUAUGAGAUGCAUGAAAACGAAAACAACACACGGAGAAAAAGACCCGAAACCGAGAAAUAAAUAUAACUUGACACCGGAAACGGCAAGAGUUGGAGUACAAAUGGGGAAAGUUACAUCUGGGGCGUUACACGGCCGACAGUGAAAAGUUGCGCCGGGUUCAGUAGGAUAAACAGAGCCAACAGCCGCCUUGACCUUCAAAUUCAUCUGUUGCGUCAUAAGGAGGCAAUUUUGAGACUCCGUGAUAGCAUCCACGGGAUAGCUGGCAGGGGCCGUCAAGGCAUGCUCCAGCUGAAGCAGCUCGGUGGAAGCCACGCUGCUUCUCCGCUGAGAUGGCGGCGUAGCUUCGGGGGAAGCUUCGGCAGUACGUUUGCUGCGAUUUGCUUCUCGUUCCUCUAUCGCUUGUACCCUUGCUUGCAGCGCCUGCAUUUGGGUCUGCUGCAAUUUUUUCCUCCUCUCCUGGGAUUUGUAACCGCCUGCGUCCGGAAACCCAACCUUCCACGGAAUGGAGCCUGGCGUGCCUCGUGUCCGUCCAGGGCGCUCAGGAUUCCCGAGGGCCAUUGUGAGCUCGUCGUUCUCUCUGUCUGGAAAGAACGUCCCUUGCUGUGCUGCUUCGAUAUACUGCUAAAGCUUCCUGACUGGUAUGUCCAUUUGAUCGUUCGUCCAAAUGCACUUCCCUGUUAUAGGGUCCAAGGUUCCACCAGCCCCGAAGAACCAAGUUCGGCAACGGUCUUGCCAGUUAAUUGUCUCUGGUUCGACCCCUUUAUCAACCAGAUCAUUCUCAGUCUUGGCCCACUUAGGCCAUGCUACGAGGUAGCCACCUGACCCCGUGCGGUGGUGAUGCUUCUUCUUCGCAGCAUUUUGCUUGUUUGUCGCCGACAUCUUCUUACUCUUUUCCGAUGUCUUGUGGGCCACAAAUGCGGGCCAGUGAUCUCUGAUCUUCUCAUAUCUGCCCUUGAAUUCUGGUGUCUCUUUAUUUUCGACAAACUUAUUCAGUUCUUUCUUCCACCUCCUGAAUAGUUCUGCCAUCCUCUUAAGAGCAAGAGACUUGAUUAAUUGCUCUUUAACUGGCUUCUCUGGAUCAUCCUCUGGCGGUAGGGUGAAAUUUGACUUCAGCUCAGUCCAAAGAUCAUUUUUCUGCAUAUCAUUGACAUAAGACACCUCAGGGUCUUCUGUAGCCGACUUUAACCAUUGCUGGAUGCUGAUCGGGAUCUUGUCCCUAACCAAAACCCCGCACUGAGCAACAAAUGCACUCUUUGUCCGGAGGGGUUCAAUCGGUUGGCCGUCGGGCGCGAUUGCUAUGAUCUCAAACUUUUCAUCCGAGCUCAACUUUUUCUUCGGGCCUCGUCUCUUUACCGAAGUUGUGCUCGAUCCGGAGGGCUAGAAAAAAGAACAAAGACUUAAUUAAUAUGUGUACAUACCAAAACAAUAAAUGCAUCAAUUUGCUAGUCAGCAGACGCUUAACUAAUAUAUAUACCUGGCCGGACUCGGUUCAGUCACCGGAGACGUCAUCACGGUCUCCUUCUUGCAUCGGCAUUGGGUCACCGGAGCCGUCCUCACGGUCUCCUUCUUGCACCGGCAUUAGGUCACCGGAGCCAUCAUAAUCAUAGCCAGCUGCUUCCAGACCAUCGGUGUCGUUGAGAAACAACAAGCAGACGGCAUCACUUCCUCGUGCGAUUAUGUCCCCCAACAACUCUUCUUGUACUUCGUCUCGGGCGGUGUCCAUAGUUUCUACAAAUAUUGAUAACAUGGCAAUUAUUAUUCAAACAUGACAGAUGGAUAUAUUAGUGGCAAACGUAGAACUAAUAUUAAUUAGUGGCCUCAACACUGCUUCUCUAGGGUUUGGGGUGGCCUCGACGCUGCUUCUCUAGGGUUUGGGGUGGCCUCGACAACGCUUCAAGGAUAAAAAAAGAAAAGGAAGAAAAAAAAAGAGGAUAAGAAAGAAUAGAGGAGUAAGAACUCCUCUAUUCUUUCUUCUCCUGUUUUUUUCUUCUUCUUCCUCUUUUUUUUUAUCGGGAACGAGGGUCGUCGAGGGUCACCGAGCGGUAGAGGAAACCCUAAAUAGCAAGUAUCGUGGGUGUGAGAUACAUGUGGCCGUCGGUAUCGGACACUACAUCCACGUCCCACAAGUGACAUGGGCGUCGAAGCCUGCGUCACUUGUGGGACGUGGAUGUACUGUCCGACACCGACGGUCACAUGUAUCUCACACCGACGAUACUUGCUAUUUAGGGUUUCCUCUACCGCUCGGCGACCCUCGAUGACCCUCGUUACCGAUGAAAAAAGAGGAAGAAGAAGAAAAAAAAAGAGGAGAAGAAAGAAUAGAGGAGAAGAACUCCUAUAUUCUUUCUUCUCCUCUUUUUUUCUUCUUCCUCUUCGUUUUUUAUUUUCCUCUCAUGUUCGACGACCCUCGACCCCUCGGCGACCCUAGACCCCCUCUCGACCCCCUCAUGUCGAAGUUAUUGGGUAGGGGGUAUAUCGACAACGACAUACCCGAUACAUACAUACAUACAUACAUACAUACAUACAUACAUAUAACAUGCAUCCAUACAUAUAUGAACAAAAUUAAUAUCUACUAAUUAACAACCUAAAUAAAAAAACUAAUACAUAUAGGAAGAAGAAGAAAAAAGAAGAGAAGAAAGAAUAGAGGAGAAGACUUCCUCUUCUUCCUCUCCUCUUCUUCUCCCUCUUCUUCCCCUUCUUCCUCGCCUCUCUCAUGAAUGUCCGACGUUCUCGACCCUUGACCCCCUAAACUAGUUCUCAACCCUCGACCCCCUAAACUAGUUCUCGACCCUCCCUCAUGUCGAAGUUAUUAGGGAGGGGGUAUAUCGACCCCCCUCAUGUCAAAGUUAUCGGGGAGGGUUAUAUCGACGCCCCUCCCGUUGAAGUUAACAGGGAGGGGGUAUAUCGACAAUGACAUGCAUACAUGGAAAAAAAUGCUAUCCAUCUAUACAUACAUAGCCACAUACAUAUAUACAUGGAAAUAAUGCUAUGAAAAAAAAUAUGAACAAAAAAUGCUAUGAGCAAAAAAAAAUACACAUAAACAAAAAAAUACAUAUAUGAACAAAAAAUGCUCUGAACAAAAAAAAUACACAUAUAUGAACAUCUAUACAUACAUAUAGCCACAUACAUAUAAACAUUAUAUAUACGAACAAAAAAAUGAAAAAAAUGAUAAACCGGGGUGGCGGCGGCUCACAGCAGCGAGGUUGACCGGCGAGGGCGACGGCAGGGGCGGCGAGGGCGUCGGCGAGGGCGGCGGAUGGCUCGGGGAGGAGGGCGGCGAGGGCGGCACGGGCUCGGGGAGGAGGGCUCGGGGACGACGGCGAGAUCGGGGGCAGCACGGGCUCGGGGCGGCGCGGGCUUGGGGACGACGGCGAGCUCAAGGGGCGGCAUGAGCUCGGGAAGGANNNNNNNNNNNNNNNNNNNNNNNNNNNNNNNNNNNNNNNNNNNNNNNNNNNNNNNNNNNNNNNNNNNNNNNNNNNNNNNNNNNNNNNNNNNNNNNNNNNNNNNNNNNNNNNNNNNNNNNNNNNNNNNNNNNNNNNNNNNNNNNNNNNNNNNNNNNNNNNNNNNNNNNNNNNNNNNNNNNNNNNNNNNNNNNNNNNNNNNNNNNNNNNNNNNNNNNNNNNNNNNNNNNNNNNNNNNNNNNNNNNNNNNNNNNNNNNNNNNNNNNNNNNNNNNNNNNNNNNNNNNNNNNNNNNNNNNNNNNNNNNNNNNNNNNNNNNNNNNNNNNNNNNNNNNNNNNNNNNNNNNNNNNNNNNNNNNNNNNNNNNNNNNNNNNNNNNNNNNNNNNNNNNNNNNNNNNNNNNNNNNNNNNNNNNNNNNNNNNNNNNNNNNNNNNNNNNNNNNNNNNNNNNNNNNNNNNNNNNNNNNNNNNNNNNNNNNNNNNNNNNNNNNNNNNNNNNNNNNNNNNNNNNNNNNNNNNNNNNNNNNNNNNNNNNNNNNNNNNNNNNNNNNNNNNNNNNNNNNNNNNNNNNNNNNNNNNNNNNNNNNNNNNNNNNNNNNNNNNNNNNNNNNNNNNNNNNNNNNNNNNNNNNNNNNNNNNNNNNNNNNNNNNNNNNNNNNNNNNNNNNNNNNNNNNNNNNNNNNNNNNNNNNNNNNNNNNNNNNNNNNNNNNNNNNNNNNNNNNNNNNNNNNNNNNNNNNNNNNNNNNNNNNNNNNNNNNNNNNNNNNNNNNNNNNNNNNNNNNNNNNNNNNNNNNNNNNNNNNNNNNNNNNNNNNNNNNNNNNNNNNNNNNNNNNNNNNNNNNNNNNNNNNNNNNNNNNNNNNNNNNNNNNNNNNNNNNNNNNNNNNNNNNNNNNNNNNNNNNNNNNNNNNNNNNNNNNNNNNNNNNNNNNNNNNCUUUGUUGCUUUAUUUAUUUUGUUUUGUGAUUAACUUUACUAUAAAAAUAGUUUUUUUCCUAUUUUUUUGAUUUGUUUUUUGCAUUAUUUAUUUUCUUUUGUUUUUUGCUUUAAUUUUUAAUUUUGUUUGCUUUUAGGUUAGCAAAAUUAUAAACUUUCUGUUAGUGCCAUUAGUUUUAGAAAAAUUAUAAACUUUCUGUUAGUGCCAUUAGUUUUCAAAUUUGAAUAGUUAAAAUAUGAAUUCUUUGAAAUUUGUGUGAAUCACAAGUUUGUGAUUAACUUACUAAAAAAAUGAGAAUAGAUGCGCUUAUAGAGAAAAUUCAACCGAAAAUCAUAGUAAAUUUCUAUGAAUUUCAGAGAAAUUCACUAUGAAUUUAGGUUAAACUUUUCUCUAUUAGGGCAUCUAUUUUCACUUUGAGAGGAGCUCAACAAGGCAGAGAGGGAAGGGCUUAUAAACCGGUGUGAGCCCCCUUUGGUUGGCGAGGUGGGACUAAACUCUGCCCGCAACGAGGACCAACCCUUUAGUCCCGGUUUGUGGCACAAACCGGGACUAAUGGUCAUGGGCCAGGGGCGAGGAGCAAAAUUAUAAACUUUCUGUUAGUGCCAUUAGUUUUAGAAAAAUUAUAAACUUUUUGUUAGUGCCAUUAGUUUUCAAAUUUGAAUAGUUAAAAUUUGAAUUCUUUGAAAAUUGUUUGAAUCACAAGUUUGUGAUUAACUUUACUUUUUCCAGUUUUUUUUGUUUUUUGCAUUAUUUAUUUUCUUUUGUUUUUGCAUUUUUAAUUCUUUUUUGCUUUUAGGUCAGAAAAAUUAUAAACUUUCUGUUAGUGCCAUCACUUUUAGAAAAAAUUAUAAACUUUCUGUUAGUGCCAUUAGUUUUCAAAUUUGAAUAGUUAAAAUUUGAAUAAUGGUAUUACGUGGGCCGAACCAUAAGACAUUAAAGCAUUUCAAAUGAAUUCUGAAAAAGUUGAAAGUUGGCAUGGUAUCAUAAUUUCACCCACAUAGCAUGUGCAUGUACAAAACGGACAAUGGUAGCAUGUUCGUGUGUUACAAAGUUGGCAUGGUAUCAUCAUAACAGUUGCGGGAGAAAGUCUUCACUUUUUCUUCGCUGAUGUCAUUUUCUUAUUGCGCCGUAACCAUGGAUAAUCUUCAUUGUUUAUCAGAAUGCUUGGGUCAGCCUUGACAUUGAAGGGAGGAAUUUCAUGAAACUUUUCAUAAUCUUCAGACAUGUCUGUCUUGCCGUCCACUCCCAGGAUGUCCCUUUUUCCUGAAAGAACUAUGUGGUGCUUUGGCUCAUCGUAUGAUGUAUUCGCUUCCUUAUCUUUUCUUUUUCUCGGUUUGGUAGACAUGUCCUUCACAUAGAUAACCUGUGCCACAUCAUUGGCUAGGAUGAACGGUUCGUCAGUGUACCCAAGAUUUUUCAGAUCCACUGUUGUCAUUCCGUACUGUGGGUCUACAUGUACCCCGCCGCCUGACAGAUUGACCCAUUUGCACUUAAACAAAGGGACCUUAAAAUUAGGUCCGUAGUCAAGUUCCCAUAUGUCCACUAUGUAACCAUAAUAUGUGUCCUUUCCGCUCUCGGUUGCUGCAUCAAAGCGGACACCGCUGUUUUGGUUGGUGCUCUUUUGAUCUUGGGCGAUCGUGUAAAAUGUAUUCCCAUUUAUCUCGUAUCCUUUGUAAGUCAAUACAGUCAAAGAUGGUCCCCUGGACAACAAGUACAACUCAUCACAAAUAGUGUUGUCACCUCUGAGACGUGUUUCCAACCAACUGCUGAAAGUCCUGAUGUGUUCACAUGUAAUCCAGUCGUCGCACUGCUCCGGGUGUUUGGAGCGCAGACUAUUCUUGUGUUCAUCGACAUACGGGGUCACCAAGGUAGAGUUCUGUAGAACUGUGUAGUGUGUUUGACACCAAGAAUAUCCGUCCCUGCAUAUUAUUGAGUCUCUUCUAAGAGUGCCUUUUCCAGUCAGUCUCCCCUCAUACCGCGAUUUAGGGAGACCUAUCUUCUUAAGGCCAGGAAUGAAGUCAACACAAAACCCGAUAACAUCCUCUGUUUGAUGGCCCAUGGAGAUGCUUCCUUCUGUCCUAGCCCGUUUACGGACAUAUUUCUUUAGGACUCCCAUGAACCUCUCAAAGGGGAACAUAUUGUGUAGAAAUACGGGCCCCAGGAUGACAAUCUCGUCGACUAGAUGAACUAGGACGUGGGUCAUGAUAUUGAAGAAGGAUGGUGGGAACACCAGCUCAAAACUGACAAGACAUUGCGCCACAUCACUCCUUAGCCUUGGUACGAUUUCUGGAUCGAUCACCUUCUGAGAGAUUGCAUUGAGGAAUGCACAUAGCUUCACAAUGGCUAAUCGGACAUUUUCCGGUAGAAGCCCCCUCAAUGCAACCGAAAGCAGUUGCGUCAUAAUCACGUGGCAGUCAUGAGACUUUAGGUUCUGAAACUUUUUCUCUGGCAUAUUUAUUAUUCCCUUUAUAUUCGACGAGAAGCCAGUCGUGACCUUCAUACUGAGCAGGCAUUCAAAGAAGAUUUCUGUCUCUUCUUUUGUAAGAGCGUAGCUGGCAGGACCUUUAUACUACUUCGGAGGCAUGCCGUCUUUUUCGUGCAAAUGUUGCAGGUCCUCCCGUGCCUCAGGUGUAUAUUUUUUUCUUCCCAUACACGCCCAAGAAGCCUAGCAGGUUCACGCAAAGGUUCUUCGUCACGUGCAUCACGUCGAUUGAAGAGCUGACCUCUAGGUCUUUCCAGUAGGGUAGGUCCCAAAAUAUAGACUUCUUCUUCCACAUGGGUGCAUGUCCCUCAGCGUCAUUCGGAACAACUAGUCCACCGGGACCCUUUCCAAAGAUUACGUGUAAAUCAUUGACCAUAGAAAGUACGUGAUCACCGGUACGCAUGGCGGGCUUCUUCCGGUGAUCUUCCUCGCCUUUGAAAUGCUUGCCUUUCUUUCGACAUUGAUGGUUGGUCGGAAGAAAUCGACGAUGGCCCAGGUACACAUUCUUCCUGCAUUUGUCCAGGUAUAUACUUUCAGUGUCAUCUAAACAGUGCGUGCAUGCGUGGUAUCCUUUGUUUGUCUGUCCUGAAAGGUUACUGAGAGCGGGCCAAUCGUUGAUGGUCACGAACAGCAACGCCUUAAGGUUAAAUUCCUCCUGUCUGUGCUCAUCCCACGUACGUACACCGUUUCCAUUCCAUAGCUGUAAAAGUUCUUCAACUAAUGGCCUUAGGUACACAUCAAUGUCGUUGUCGGGUUGCUUAGGGCCUUGGAUGAGAACUGGCAUCAUAAUGAACUUCCGCUUCAUGCACAUCCAAGGAGGAAGGUUAUACAUACAUAGAGUCACGGGCCAAGUGCUGUGAUUGCUGCUCUGCUCCCCGAAAGGAUUAAUGCCAUCUGCGCUUAAAGCAAACCAUACAUUCCUUGGGUCCUUUGCAAACUCAUCCCAGUACUUUCUCUCAAUUUUUCUCCACUGCGACCCGUCAGCAGGUGCUCUCAACUUCCCAUCUUUCUUUCGGUUCUCACUGUGCCAUCGCAUCAACUUGGCAUGCUCUUUGUUUCUGAACAGACGUUUCAACCGUGGUAUUAUAGGAGCAUACCACAUCACCUUCGCAGGAACCCUCUUCCUGGGGGGCUCACCGUCAACAUCACCAGGGUCAUCUCGUCUGAUCUUAUACCGCAAUGCACCGCAUACCGAGCAUGCGUUCAGAUCCUUGUAUGCACCGCGGUAGAGGAUGCAGUCAUUAGGGCAUGCAUGUAUCUUCUCCACCUCCAAUCCUAGAGGGCAUACAACCUUCUUUGCUGCGUAUGUACUGUUGGGCAAUUCGUUAUCCUUUGGAAGCUUCUUCUUCAAUAUUUUCAGUAGCUUCUCAAAUCCUUUGUCAGCCACAGCAUUCUCUGCCUUCCACUGCAACAAUUCCAGUACGGUACCGAGCUUUGUGUUGCCAUCUUCGCAAUUGGGGUACAACCCUUUUUUGUGAUCCUCUAACAUGCGAUCGAACUUCAGCUUCUCCUUUUGACUUUCACAUUGCGUCCUUGCAUCACUACUAGGGAAAAGCCUAGCAGCAGCGCGGGUUUUCGGCCUUUUAGUAGCACGGGGUCCGGCGCUAUAGCUAACGUAUAGCAGUAGCGCUGGUCCACCCGCGCUACUGCUACACAAGUGUUGCAGCAGCGCGCUUAAAGGAACCUCGCUGCUGCUAAUAGCUAUAGCGCGAUUCCCCUGUGUGCGCUACUGCUACAACCGCGCUGCUGCUAACUUUUCUCCACUCGCUACUGCUAAUUUUAGUAGUUUUUUUUGUUUUUUUCGGCAUAUUUGUUUUGUAUUUGAACAGGCUUUAUAGAAGAAUCUUUAGCACAUACAAAUGUCAUCAUGAUACACAUACAAAUGCCUGCGAGACCACAAAUGUAAUCAUAGCAUAUACAUACAAAUAGUCUCGUCAUAAUGAUCAUCCAACACAAAGUGGUAUCUUGUCAUCAUCUCAAAAAUAGCGAUACAUGCAAGUCUCGAAUACUUGCAACUACAAUGUCAUCCAUCUAAACAAAGGUAUACGCGAGAAGAGCUAUCACUAUGAGUGAGAGCGGAACUAUGCAGUACAUGAGAUGGCGGUUACGAGUCCUCUCUCGCGCUAUAGUGAACCUCAAGUAACUAGCUUCUCCUUCUUGUCUGCUUUUGAAGCCUUUAUGGCUGGCGUCCGAGAACCCAUUCACUUGCGCCUGGCACUCAUGCCACUCGUUGUACACCCCCGGAACCUUCCCUUUGUACACGACAUAGCAGUUCCAUCUCGCCAUCAAGAAACUAGGUACCUGUUAGAGAUGCAUGUUCAUGAAGAGGAUGUACAAUCAUAUAUAUGCAACAAAAUAUACUAGAGAACACCGAAAAAGAAAGGGUUAGCAACUAGAUGCAACAUACAGUAUGCAAAUUAAUUAACUAGAGAUACGCAGGUCAUCGUACGCAAACUAACAAAGUUGCGUUACGCAAGUUUGGCAGGGAUCAUGGACAUCACAAAGUUGCAUCGCUACAAAUAGUAUACAAGUUCAACCGACACAUAUCAUCAUCAUCGGCAUCAUAAAUCACUAGAAGUUCCAUCCUUCCAUAUCAUCGAGGAUGGACCCUAGCUUCUUGAACGGCGUGAGGUCUAGACAUUGCAUGCCUAUGCGAGUUCGGACGUCAGCUCGCGAUAUAGGGCCAUGGUGGAACAUCCCCUUCUCAUCGACGACUUCUUUCAUGAUGAUCGUCGCAAUGUCGCUUUGGAUGCGAAAGAAGUCAUCUCUAAAUUUAUAAUUCGCUUCCCCAUGAGAUUCUAGCCACUUGUGGAUAUGAUCAUCAUUUCUGCUUCUCAUGCGAAGCUUUUGGUGAUCCGUGUUGAACUGAAUCAUGAGAUGGAGGAUGUACAAUCCAUCCUUCUUGCUUGGUUUUGGGACUUGGAUGCAGGAGAAGUUAGUUUUAUGCGUGAAACCCAUCUUCUUGUUCCUUUGUUUCCUGAUCUGCAUGUGGCCACCUCUAAAGCUAAAGCCUUGGAGAGCAUCAUCUAGAAUAUUCAUUAUGUGGGUGUAGUCUUUUUUCUCGUAGUCUAUGGAAGGGUCAAAAUACACGGCGUGGGAAACUUGCGGAUAAAGAACGAUAAGGACGGUGCGCCCGUUGCUGCGGGGAAAAGACACCUCAAAUUAUUCCCCAUAGAGAGAGAAGGAAUGAUUGAAAUGUAUGAAAGGGUUGUUCAAAACUGACUUACUUUGGAUGAUAAGGCACGAGGACAAUUUCCCGGUCCUUAUUCUGUACCAUGAAGUUUUGGAGGUAGUCCCUAGCAGUUUCACGCUCAAAGUCGCCGAGACUCAAGAAAGACUCGUGCAUGUAGUACGGAUCCGCCACAUAGAUUUGCGAGACUUCUUCACUGUUCAUGACAGAGCUCAUAUGUAGCGCAAAAAGGCGAACGAUUGUAAAAUCGAGCCGCCUUGUCAGAAACAUCUCAAAGAUAUGGUCAAACCGCAAGAAGAACACCUCCGCGGGCCGUGUCUCGACGUAGCACUUCCCCUCAGGUACACGAGCCGCGUAUGUCGAAUAUCCUGGAUCCUUUGAGGCUAGUAGGCUUUUCUCAGUCGACAGCACAUGGCCGUGCAGUCUCCUGAGAUCCCUUGAUAGUGCCUCCAGCGGUUUCGGCGGUAGCAUCGGCUCGCCCGUGAGAUGGAACAUGGCCGCACCUUUCACGGGUACACGCUCUUCAGAAUGCAUCGUUUGGCUGCUAUGUGCUCUGGCUUGUUUGGAGGCAGCUAUCUUCCCCGAUCUCUUUCUCUCCUUUUUCUUGGGCACACCUUCUAGACCCUUCCUUAACCCCUGCCCCAGUGUUCCCGGGCUAAGUACUGUACGACCCUCGCGCUAGGAUAGUUGAGCCUGUGUUGAGGCGGCAUCUUCAGGCGUGUCCUGUGAGGAUUUCAUGAAGAGAGACUUUUUGCAAUCCCUGCUACGACCUUCCUGCCCGGGCAUAUUAUCCAUAUCCUCAUUAGCAAGCUGAUAGCUUGAUUCGUCAUAUGGUUGACUCAUCAAUUCUAUGUCACAGUCAUACGCGUUUGUAUUGAGGAAAUCCAUAGGGUCGACCUCCGUCUCAUCAUCCAUUCUCUGUUCUACAGGACAAAUUACAUCAGCCAGCACUAUUGCACCCCCUUCAUCAUGUCUUCCGCCGCUCUCACCCGGCACUACAUGAGCUGGUAAUUGCGUAGGUGGGGUGGUGGUCUCCUCACAUGCUUGUUGAUGUGUGGUUAUUGGUGUGCUCUCGGCCGGCUCCAGACGAAUAAGAUUCUUCGGCCAUAGCAGCACCCAACCCUUGCAGCUUCCAAUCCGCGGCGGGGUCUCAUUGUCCGCUCCCACAUGCUGUACUGGAGGAGGCAAAUCCUCAUGCCCCGAUUUCACACUGGACAAGCUAACCCUGAAGUGCCCAGCAGGGAUUGGCUGGUUGUGGAACAUGGGUUGCAAGGGGUCCAUUAUCAUCCCCUUUCCUACGUCCACCUUCUGGCCUUUGAUUAAGUAGAGUAUGGUGCACGGGGUUUCUUUUUCCUGCAAACACAUAUGUCUGUGGCGUAAAACAUCCGAAAGGCAACAAAAAUGGAAUAUUAUAUAUAUAUAUAUAUGGUGGUGCGACAUGUAAUUACCGUGAUGGCGUCGAGCUCAGCCAAAGACGAAGGCCCACCGAGCACGCCAGAGACUGAGGACGGGCUGCUAUCAGCGGGAGCGGCUGUGAGAGGAGGCCCGGUUGCGUGGGCAAGUGAUGGUGCGAUGAUGUUGUUGUUCAUGGAGUUGCUCCCGUUGAAACUGGGCAACGGGAAAUCAUGUACCGUCUUGUCUGGAUUUUCCUUCGUCUAGUUGAUGAUAACUCGAACCAAGUUAGUAGCGAAAUCAUUUCUGCAGGCAGUUACAGCUGCAUUGAUUGCCUGCUGUAACAACUCAUAUUUGUCCUCGGCUGCUUUUUUCGCGUCCUCAGCUGCUUUUUUCUCGAUCGCAAGCUUCACCUUCGUGUUGAUGUCUGCCUGACUAAACUUCUUUUUCUACUUCUUGGCCUCCGGGCCCUCGUUGCAAAACACCUUCCACGUGGCGCCAUCUCCAGCGCCGUGCACACGACCAUAUUGCGGCCACUGGCCCAAAGGGAGUCCCUUAAGUUCGUUCAAGGCCCGGUUGAGAGGGGUGUCCCACUUGGGCCUCAUCGGAGAAGUAGGGUUUUCGGCUGCAAGCUGGUGUUGCUUCUCCAGUAGUCUAAUCAAUUUCCUCGUGAUCUUGUCCAUGUAAAAAACCUUUUUCUCCUUGUCCCACUUUUAGCGGGCCCUGAUGAAGUCAUGCUCCAAGGGGUUGGUGAACUUCGCGAAGGGGUCUGGGAGACCCGUGGCUUCACGUUUCACGUCCUCCUUAUCCCAUCUGGGCCUUUUACCGAGGUAGCCACGGCUUCCGAGGCGAUGCUUCCCCGUGUUCCUUUGCUGAAGGCUCUUGAAUUUCGCAGCCUUAGCCUUGGCGUCCUCGGUAGCGCAAGUGUCCUUGAACUCUUCGAACUCCUCUUCCGUAAGUGUCGGAUUUUCCUCCAGAAUCUUGGACAGGGGUUCCUCAGCCUCAAUAGCUCGUUUCACCCUCGAUUUCCAGGAGGCCAAAUCAUUGCUGAACAUGCCCAUGGCGUGAUUGUUAAUCUUUUUCAUCUUCGGAUCAUCCCACGGUUGUUCUAUGUUAUCAUCCCGAUCGGGGAACUUGACUCUCUUGUGCAACUUCGUUAGGAGCAACUGCGUCAAAUGUUCUUUACUCCUUAAGUCAUCGUCAUUGAUGCUCACGCAUUCCCGUAGGAUGCAUCCUACUUGGUUCCCAUAGCACUUGCGAGCUUCUUCCGGCUCUAACGGCUCAAACUUGCCAGGUGCCAUCUUUGUGAUCACAAGUCGUCCAAUCCCUAGUUUGUUAGGUUUUCGUAUCCUCUGCUUCUUAUGCCUCUUUUCGGUACCGGCAUCGGCGCCGGUAUCUUCCCCGGCAGUACCUUCCCCACCGGUCUCAGCGCCGCCAUAGGUGCCAGCGCCGUCGGUGUCGGUGUCGGCAUCAGUACCACCAUCGAGGCGGACCUGCAAACCUUGCUUAGCAGUCAAAAAGUUGAGGUAGUCUUGUUCACCCUCAUAAUCCAUCUCGUCUGCAUCUUGGUCAGAAGGCCCAGUUUCUUCGUUGUUCGACAUGUUUCCUAUGAUUAUGUGUCCUCAUUUAUUUCUAAAAGUAUGAAUAAAUGAGAAAUGAGAUAAAAAAGAAAUCUAUGUGCCAGCACUCGAUAUGCCAACUAUGUAGCACAAAUCAUGCCUUUAUUCACGGGAAAUUUCGGCAUGACCUUUGCUAAAAAAUGGACACAUCGAGCGCUUGAAAUUCACCGGAACGGAAAUGAAUCAACAUUCCAGCGUAACAUAGGCAACUCGGAUCAUUUACCAAAACAUGACAUGUCCAAAACAUGACAUAUCCACAUAUCACAUGUCCAGUUCAAAUUUGCAUAUAAAUUCAGCAAAUUUUGAAACCUAUCUAAAUUCAUAACUAAAUAGAUAACCUAAUUAACAUAACUAAAACCUAAGUAAAUUAACCCUAGCUAGCAGAGAGAGAGAGAGAGAGAGAGAGGGGUGGUUUACAGAGGGUGCAGGGCGAGGAGGCAGGCCCGACGACGACCGAGGUUGGGAGGGGAGGAAGCAGAGGAGGGAGGCGAGGGCCGACGGGUCGGGGGCGAGCGCCGGCGCCGGGGGCGAGCACGCCUAGGUCGGGGGCGAGNNNNNNNNNNNNNNNNNNNNNNNNNNNNNNNNNNNNNNNNNNNNNNNNNNNNNNNNNNNNNNNNNNNNNNNNNNNNNNNNNNNNNNNNNNNNNNNNNNNNNNNNNNNNNNNNNNNNNNNNNNNNNNNNNNNNNNNNNNNNNNNNNNNNNNNNNNNNNNNNNNNNNNNNNNNNNNNNNNNNNNNNNNNNNNNNNNNNNNNNNNNNNNNNNNNNNNNNNNNNNNNNNNNNNNNNNNNNNNNNNNNNNNNNNNNNNNNNNNNNNNNNNNNNNNNNNNNNNNNNNNNNNNNNGAGCGCGGCGGGGUCGGGCCCGGCGGGGUCGGGGGUGAGCACGCCGGGGUCGGGGGCGAGCACGCCGAGGUCGGGGGCGGGCGCGGCGGUGCUAUGGGGCCGGGGAAGAGAGAGUGGGGAUUUGGGGGAAAAGAGACGGGAUGAAGCAGGGAAAGUGAGAAUUUUGGGUUAAGUGGACGUAGCAGUAGCGCGUUUACAUGAAACGCGCUACUACUAUUACGAGCAACUAUAGCGAUUUUUGCAGAAACCGCUACUGCUACCUAGACUAGCUAUAGCUCUUUUUCACUAAAGCGCUACUGCUAUAACCAAUUUCUCUUUUUUCUUUUCCUCAGCAUAAUAGGAACAUAUAUAUUACAUCAUUGGACCCUUGCAUAAUAAUGGCUAAGUGUGUAUACAAAAUAGGAACAUAUAUAUAUAUAUUACAUCAUUGGACCCAUGCAUAAUAAUGGCUAAUUAAUGUCGGAAAUAUGCCCUAGAGGCAAUAAUAAAAGCAUUAUUAUUAUAUUUCCUUGUUCAUGAUAAUUGUCUUUUAUUCAUGCUAGAAUUGUGUUAUCCGGAAAUCGUAAUACAUGUUUGAAUAAAUAGACACCAACAUGUCCCUAGUAAGCCUCUAGUUGACUAGCUCGUUGAUCAACAGAUAGUCAUGGUUUCCUGACUAUGGACAUUGGAUGUCGUUGAUAACGAGAUCACAUCAUUAGGAGAAUGAUGUGAUGGACAAGACCCAAUCCUAAACAUAGCACAAGAUCGUAUAGUUCGUUUGCUAGAGUUUUCCAAUGUCAAGUAUCUUUUCCUUAGACCAUGAGAUCGUGUAACUCCCGGAUACCGUAGGAGUGCUUUGGGUAUACCAAACGUCACAACGUAAUUGGGUGACUAUAAAGGUAUACUACGGGUAUCUCCGAAAGUGUCUGUUGUGUUAACACGGACCAAGACUGGGAUUUGUCACUCCGUAUGACGGAGAGGUAUCACUGGGCCCACUCGGUAAUGCAUCAUCAUUAUGAGCUCAAAGUGACCAAGUGUCUGGUCACGGGAUCAUGCAUUACGGUACGAGUAAAGUGACUUGCCGGUAACGAGAUUGAAUGAGGUAUUGGGAUACCGACGAUCGAAUCUUGGGCAAGUAACAUACCGAUUGACGAAGGGAAUUGUAUACGGGGUUGCUUGAAUCCUCGACAUCAUGGUUCAUCCGAUGAGAUCAUCGAGGAGCAUGUGGGAGCCAAUAUGGGUAUCCAGAUCCCGUUGUUGGUUAUUGACCGGAGAGCGAUCUCCGUCAUGUCUACAUGUCUCCCGAACCCGUAGGGUCUACACACUUAAGGUUCGGUGACGCUAGGGUUGUAGGGAUAUGUAUAUGCAGUAACCCGAAUAUUGUUCGGAGUCCCGGAUGAGAUCCCGGACGUCACGAGGAGUUCCGGAAUGGUCCGGAGGUAAAGAAUUAUAUAUGGGAAGUGCUAUUUCGGCCAUCGGGACAAGUUUCGGUGUCACCGGUAUUGUACCGGGACCACCGGAAGGGUCCCGGGGGUCCACCGGGUGGGGCCACCUAUCCCGGAGGGCCCCAUGGGCUGAAGUGGGAAGGGAUCCAGCCGAAAGUGGGCUGGGGCACCACUUCCCCUAGGGCCCAUGCGCCUAGGGUGGGGAAACCCUAAAGGGGGGGGGGGCGCCCCCUUGCUUGGGGGGCAAGCCCCCCACCCCUUGGCCGCCGCCCCCCUAGGAGAUUGCAUCUCCUAGGGCCGCCCCCCUAGGCUCCCUAUAUAUAGUGGGGGGAGGGAGGGCCUCUCACCUACGCCAUUGGUGCCUCCCUCUCCCUCUCCAACACCUCCUCCUUCUGCAUAGAGCUUGGCGAAGCCCUGCCGGAGUACUGCAGCUCCAUCACCACCACGCCGUCGUGCUGCUGCUGGAUCCAUCUUCCUCAACCUCUCCUUCCCCCUUGCUGGAUCAAGAAGGAGGAGACGUUACGCUAACCGUACGUGUGUUGAACACGAAGGUGCCGUCCGUUCGGUGCUAGGAUCUCCGGUGAUUUGGAUCACGUCGAGUACAACUCCCUCAUCCCCGUUCUUUGAAUGCUUCCGCUCGCGAUCUACAAGGUACGUAGAUGCAUACAACCACUCGUUGCUACAUGAACUCAUAGAUGGAUCUUGGUGAAACCGUAGGAAAUUUUUUUGUUUUCUGCAACGUUCCCCAACAGUGGCAUCAUGAGCUAGGUCUAUGCGUAGUUCUCUAUGCACGAGUAGAACACAAUUUGUUGUGGGCGUUGAUGUUGUCAACUUUCUUGCCGCUACUAGUCUUAUCUUGCAUCAACGGUAUUGUGGGAUGAAGCAGCCCGGACCAACCUUACACGUACGCUUACGUGAGACCGGUUCCAUCGACUGACAUGCACUAGUUGCAUAAGGUGGCUGGCGGGUGUCUGUCUCUCCCACUUUAGUUGGAGUGGAUUCGAUGAAAAGGUUCCUUAUGAAGGGUAAAUAGAAGUUGACAAAUCACGUUGUGGCUUUCACGUAGGUAAUAAAACGUUCUUGCUAGAACCCUAUUGUAGCCACGUAAAACUUGCAACAACAAUUAGAGGACGUCUAACUUGUUUUUGCAGCAAGUGUUUUGUGAUGUGAUAUGGCCAAAGUUGUGAUGAAUGAUGAAUGAUAUAUAUGUGAUGUAUGAGAUGUUCAUGCUAUUGUAAUAGGAAUCACGACUUGCAUGUCGAUGAGUAUGACAACCGGCAGGAGCCAUAGGAGUUGUCUUUAUUUUUUGUAUGACUUGCGUGUCAUUGAGAAACGCCAUGUAAAUUACUUUACUUUAUUGCUAAACGCGUUAGCCAUAGUAGUAGAAGUAAUAGUUGGCGAGCAACUUCAUCGAGACACGAUGAUGGAGAUCAUGAUGAUGGAGAUCAUGGUGUCAUGCUGGUGACAAGAUGAUCAUGGAGCCCCAAGAUGGAGAUCAAAGGAGCUAUGUGAUAUUGGCCAUAUCAUGUCACUUUUAUUAUUUGAUUGCAUGUGAUGUUUAUCAUCUUUUUGCAUCUUGUUUACUUAGAACGACGGUAGUAAAUAAGAUGAUCCCUCAUAAUAAUUUCAAGAAAGUGUUCCCCCUAACUGUGCACCGUUGCGACAGUUCGUUGUUUCGAAGCACCACGUGAUGAUCGGGUGUGAUAGAUUAUAACGUUCACAUACAACGGGUGUAAGACAGAUUUACACAUGCAAAUGCUUAGGUUUACUUGACGAGCCUAGCAUGUACAGACAUGGCCUCGGAACACAGAAGACCGAAAGGUCGAGCAUGAGUCAUAUAGAAGAUACGGUCAACAUGAAGAUGUUCACCGAUGUUGACUAGUCCGUCUCACGUGAUGAUCGGACACGGCCUAGUUAACUCGGAUCAUGUUAUACGUAGAUGACUGGAGGGAUGUCUAUCUAAGUGGGAGUUCAUUAAAUAAUUUGAUUAGAUGAACUUAAUUAUCAUGAACUUAGUCUAAAAUAUUUACAAUAUGUCUUGUAGAUCAAAUGGCCAACGUAGUCCUCAACUUCAACGCGUUCCUAGAGAAAACCAAGCUGAAAGACGAUGGCAGCAACUACACGGACUGGGUCCAGAACCUGAGGAUCAUCCUCAUAGCUUCCAAGAAAGAUUAUGUCCUACAAGCACCGCUAGGUGACGCACCUGUUCUCCCUGCAGAACAAGACAUUAUGAACGCUUGGCAGGCACGUACCGAUGACUACUCCCUCGUUCAGUGCGGCAUGCUUUACAGCUUAGAGCCAGGGCUCCAAAAACGUUUUGAGAGACACGGAGCAUAUGAGAUGUUCGAAGAGCUGAAAAUGGUUUUCCAAGCUCAUGCCUGGGUCGAGAGAUAUCAAGUCUUUGACAAGUUCUUCAGCUGUAAGAUGGAGGAAAACAGUUCUGUCAGUGAGCACAUACUCACUAUGUCUGGGUAGCAUAACCGCUUGACUCAACUGGGAGUUAAUCUCCCGGAUGACGCGGUCAUUGACAGAAUCCUUCAGUCGCUUCCACCGAGUUACAAGAGCUUUGUGAUGAACUUCAAUAUGCAGGGGAUGGAAAAGACCAUUCCUGAAGUAUUUGCAAUGCUGAAAUCAACAGAGGUAGAAGUCAAAAAGGAACAUCAAGUGUUGAUGGUGAAUAAAACCACUAAGUUCAAGAAAGGCAAGGGUAAGAAAACCUUCAAGAAGGACGGCAAGGGAGUUGCCGCGCCCGGCAAGCAAGCUACCGGUAAGAAGCCAAAGAAUGGACCCAAGCCCGAGACUGAGUGCUUUUAUUGCAAGGAAAGUGGUCACUGGAAGCGGAACUGCCCCAAAUACUUAGCGGACAAGAAGGCCGGCAAAACGAAAGGUAUAUGUGAUAUACAUGUAAUUGAUGUGUACCUUACCAGUACUCGUAGUAGCUCCUGGGUAUUUGAUACCGGUGCAGUUGCUCACAUUUGUAACUCAAAGCAGGAGCUGCAGAAUAAGCGGAGACUGGCGAAGGACGAGGUGAUGAUGCGCGUCGGGAAUGGUUCCAAAGUCGAUGUGAUCGCCGUCGGCACGCUACCUCUACAUUUACCUACGGAUUAGUUUUGAACCUAAAUAAUUGUUAUUUAGUGCCAAGUUUGAGCAUGAACAUUGUAUUAGGAUCUUGUUUAAUACGAGAUGGCUACUCAUUUAAAUCCGAGAAUAAUGGUUGUUCUAUUUAUAUGAGAGAUAUGUUUUAUGGUCAUGCUCCGAUGGUGAAUGGUUUAUUCUUAAUGAAUCUCGAGCGUAAGGCUACACAUAUUCAUAGUGUGAAUACCAAAAGAUGUAAGAUUGAUAAUGAUAGUCCCACAUACUUGUGGAACUGCCGCCUUGGUCACAUAGGUGUCAAACGCAUGAAGAAGCUCCAUGCAGAUGGACUUUUAGAGUCUCUUGAUUACGAAUCAUUUGACACGUGCGAACCAUGCCUCAUGGGUAAAAUGACCAAGACUCCGUUCUCAGGAACAAUGGAGCGAGCAACCAACUUAUUGGAAAUCAUACAUAAUGAUGUGUGCGGUCCAAUGAGUGUUGAGGCUCGCGGUGGCUAUCGUUAUGUUCUCACCCUCACUGAUGACUUGAGUAGAUAUGGGUAUAUCUAUUUGAUGAAACACAAGUCUGAGACCUUUGAAAAGUUCAAGGAAUUUCAGAGUGAGGUUGAAAAUCAACGUGACAGGAAAAUCAAGUUCCUACGAUCAGAUCGUGGAGGAGAAUACUUGAGUCACGAAUUUGGCACACACUUAAGAAAAUGUGGAAUAGUUUCACAACUCACGCCGCCUGGAACACCUCAGCGUAAUGGUGUGUCCGAACAUCGUAAUCGCACUCUAUUAGAUAUGGUGCGAUCUAUGAUGUCUCUUACCGAUUUACCGCUAUCUUUUUGGGGCUAUGCUUUAGAGACUGCCGCAUUCACUUUAAAUAGGGCUCCGUCGAAAUCCAUUGAGACGACACCGUAUGAAUUAUGGUUUGGGAAGAAACCUAAGUUGUCAUUUCUAAAAGUUUGGGGAUGCGAUGCUUAUGUCAAGAAACUUCAACCUGAAAAGCUCGAACCCAAGUCGGAAAAAUGCGUCUUCAUAGGAUACCCUAAAGAAACUAUUGGGUAUACCUUCUACCUCAGAUCCGAAGGCAAGAUCUUUGUUGCCAAGAAUGGAUCCUUUCUAGAGAAGGAGUUUCUCUCGAAAGAAGUAAGUGGGAGGAAAGUAGAACUUGAUGAAGUAUUACCUCUUGAAUCGGAAAAUGGCGCAACUCAAGAAAAUGUUCCUGAGGUGCCUGCACCGACUAGAGAGGAAAUUAAUGAUGAUGAUCAUGAAACUUCAGAUCGAGUUGCUACUGAACUUCGUAGGUCCACAAGGACACGUUCCGCACCAGAGUGGUACGGCAACCCUGUCUUGGAAAUCAUGUUGUUAGACAACGGCGAACCUUCAAACUAUGAAGAAGCGAUGGCGGGCCCAGAUUCCGACAAAUGGCUAGAAGCCAUGAAAUCCGAGAUAGGAUCCAUGUAUGAAAAUGAAGUAUGGACUUUGACUGACUUGCCCGUUGAGCGGCGAGCCAUAGAAAAUAAAUGGAUCUUUAAGAAGAAGACAGACCCGGAUGGUAAUGUGACCAUCUAUAAAGCUCGGCUUGUCGCUAAGGGUUAUCGACAAGUUCAAGGGGUUGACUAUGAUGAGACUUUCUCACCGGUAGUGAAGCUAAAGUCCGUCCGAAUCAUGUUAGCAAUUGCCGCAUUCUAUGAUUAUGAGAUAUGGCAAAUGGACGUCAAAACGGCAUUCCUUAAUGGUUUCCUUAAGGAAGAAUUGUAUAUGAUGCAGCCGGAAGGUUUUGUCGAUCCUAAGAAUGCUGACAAGGUGUGCAAGCUCCAACGCUCGAUUUAUGGGCUAGUGCAAGCAUCUCGGAGUUGGAACAUUCGUUUUGAUGAGAUGAUCAAAGCGUUUGGGUUUACGCAGACUUAUGGAGAAGCCUGCAUUUACAAGAAAGUGAGUGGGAGCUCUGUAGCAUUUCUCAUAUUAUAUGUAGAUGACAUACUUUUGAUGGGAAAUGAUAUAGAACUCUUGGACAACAUUAAGGCCUACUUGAAUAAGAGUUUUUCAAUGAAGGACCUUGGAGAAGCUGCAUAUAUAUUAGGCAUCAAGAUCUAUAGAGAUAGAUCAAGACGCCUCAUAGGUCUUUCACAAAGCACAUACCUUGAUAAGAUAUUGAAGAAGUUCAAUGUGGAUCAGUCUAAGAAGGGGUUCUUGCCUGUGAUGCAAGGUGUGAAAUUGAGCUCAGCUCAAUGUCCGACCACGGCAGAAGAUAUAGAAGAGAUGAGUGUCAUCCCCUAUGCCUCAGCCAUAGGUUCUAUUAUGUAUGCCAUGCUGUGUACCAGACCUGAUGUAAACCUUGCCGUAAGUUUGGUAGGAAGGUACCAAAGUAAUCCCGGCAAGGAACACUGGACUGCGGUCAAGAAUAUCCUGAAGUACCUGAAAAGGACUAAGGAAAUGUUUCUCAUUUAUGGAGGUGACGAAGAGCUCAUCGUAAAGGGUUACGUCGACGCUAGCUUCGACAUAGAUCUGGAUGACUCUAAGUCACAAACCAGAUACGUGUAUAUUUUGAAUGGUGGGGUAGUAAGCUGUUACAGUUGCAAGCAGAGCGUCGUGGCGGGAUCUACAUGUGAAGCGGAGUACAUGGCAGCCUCGGAGGUAGCGCAUGAAGCAAUUUGGGUGAAGGAGUUCAUCACCGACCUAGGAGUCAUACCCAAUGCGUCAGGGCCAAUCAAGCUCUUCUGUGACAACACUGGAGCUAUUGCACUUGCCAAGGAGCCCAGGUUUCACAAGAAGACAAGUCACAUCAAGCGUCGCUUCAACUCCAUUCGUGAAAAUGUUCAAGAUGGAGACAUAGAUAUUUGUAAAGUACAUACGGACCUGAAUGUAGCAGAUCCAUUGACUAAACCUCUCCCUAGAGAAAAACAUGAUCAACACCAGAAUUCCGUGGGUGUUCGAUUCAUCACAAUGUAACUAGAUUAUUGACUCUAGUGCAAGUGGGAGACUGUUGGAAAUAUGCCCUAGAGGCAAUAAUAAAAGCAUUAUUAUUAUAUUUCCUUGUUCAUGAUAAUUGUCUUUUAUUCAUGCUAUAAUUGUGUUAUCCGGAAAUCGUAAUACAUGUGUGAAUAAAUAGACACCAACAUGUCCCUAGUAAGCCUCUAGUUGACUAGCUCGUUGAUCAACAGAUAGUCAUGGUUUCCUGACUAUGGACAUUGGAUGUCGUUGAUAACGAGAUCACAUCAUUAGGAGAAUGAUGUGAUGGACAAGACCCAAUCCUAAACAUAGCACAAGAUCGUAUAGUUCGUUUGCUAGAGUUUUCCAAUGUCAAGUAUCUUUUCCUUAGACCAUGAGAUCGUGUAACUCCCGGAUACUUUAGGAGUGCUUUGGGUAUACCAAACGUCACAACAUAACUGGGUGACUAUAAAGGUAUACUACGGGUAUCUCCGAAAGUGUCUGUUGGGUUAACACGGAUCAAGACUGUGAUUUGUCACUCCGUAUGACGGAGAGGUAUCACUGGGCCCACUUGGUAAUGCAUCAUCAUUAUGAGCUCAAAGUGACCAAGUGUCUGGUCACGGGAUCAUGCAUUACGGUACGAGUAAAGUGACUUGCCGGUAACGAGAUUGAACGAGGUAUUGGGAUACCGACGAUCGAAUCUCGGGCAAGUAACAUACUGAUUGACGAAGGGAAUUGUAUACGGGGUUGCUUGAAUCCUCGACAUCGUGGUUCAUCCGAUGAGAUCAUCGAGGAGCAUGUGGGAGCCAAUAUGGGUAUCCAGAUCCCGCUGUUGGUUAUUGACCGGAGAGUGAUCUCGGUCAUGUCUACAUGUCUCCCGAACCCAUAGGGUCUACACACUUAAGGUUCGGUGAUGCUAGGGUUGUAGGGAUAUGUAUAUGCAGUAACCCGAAUAUUGUUCAGAGUCCCGGAUGAGAUCCCGGACGUCAUGAGGAGUUCCGGAAUGGUCCGGAGGUAAAGAAUUAUAUAUGGGAAGUGCUAUUUCGGCCAUCGGGACAAGUUUCGGUGUCACUGCUAUUGUACCGGGACCACCGGAAGGGUCUCAGGGGUCCACCGGGUGGGGCCACCUAUCCCGGAGGGCCCCAUGGGCUGAAGUGGGAAGGGAUCCAGCCCAAAGUGGGCUGGGGAGCCACUUCCCCUUGGGCCCAUGCGCCUAGGGUGGGGAAACCCUAAAGGGGGGGCGCCCCCUUGCUUGAGGGAUAAGCCCCCCACCCCUUGGCCGCCGCCCCCUAGGAGAUUGCAUCUCCUAGGGCCGGCGCCCCCCUAGGCUCCCUAUAUAUAGUGGGGGGAGGGAGGGCCUCUCACCUACGCCAUUGGUGCCUCCCUCUCCCUCUCCAACACCUCCUCCUUCUCCAUAGAGCUUGGCGAAGCCCUGCCGGAGUACUGCAGCUCCAUCACCACCACGCCGUCGUGCUGCUGCUGGAGCCAUCUUCCUCAACCUCUCCUUCCCCCUUGCUGGAUCAAGAAGGAGGAGACGUUACGCUGACCGUACGUGUGUUGAACACGGAGGUGCCGUCCGUUCGGCGCUAGGAUCUCCGGUGAUUUGGAUCACGUCGAGUACGACUCCCUCAUCCCCGUUCUUUGAACGCUUCCGCUCGCGAUCUACAAGGUACGUAGAUGCAUCCAACCACUCGUUGCUAGAUGAACUCAUAGAUGGAUCUUGGUGAAACCGCAGGAAUUUUUUUUGUUUUCUGCAACGUUCCCCAACAAUUAAGUGUGUAUACAAAAUAGGAACAUAUAUUUCCAUUUUGCAAAAGCAUGAAAUAUUAAUCACACCUCUAUCUCGAGAUCGAGCACACGGUGGAGAUGAUGAUGUACGGAGGUCAAAAGUGCACAAAGCUCUUCUUGACAAAGAAAGAUCUAGUUAGGGGGCAAAUAGGUCACUUAACUAAAUGCUACAUCUACCUAGCUAGCUAAUUUGGGAGGAGACAACUUCAACUAGUGGAGGGGGGAGGAAAAAGAGAAAGGAGAUGAAUUAAUGGAGGUUAGUUAUAGCUAGGAGUAAUGAAGAGAGAGAAAGCUAGGUAGAAGAGGGAGAGUAAUGGGGGAGAAGUAUUGAGGAAGAAGAAGAGUGAGAGAGGGAGGAUGUGGGAGGUAGGGGAAAGGGAGGAGAGGAGAUGGGGAGGGGAGGUGGAAAAGGUGGUGGGUGCUGCGUCUUAGCAGUAGCGCGGGAGAGAAAGCGCGCUGCUGCUAAGAGCGUAGCAACAGCGCGCUUUCCUGUCACGCGCUACUGCUAAACGGGCCAACCCUGUGCACAAUUUCAAAAUUAGCAGCAGCGAGGUGACAAAAAAGCGCGCUGCUACUAUGGCAUUAGUAGCAGCGCGCUUCCUGGCGCCGCGCUAGUGAUAAACUUAUGUCGUUGUGUACUGUCGGUGGAUUUUCGUAGCAGCGCGGUUUAAGCGUCACGCGCUACUGCUAAGUUUGCACCAGUAGCGAGCUUUCCGUAGCCGCGUUGCUACUACUUAGCAGCAUCGCCUGUUUUUAUGCCGCGCUGCUGCUAAGAUUCUGUGUAUAAGGUUUUCCCUAAUAGUGCAUCGACAAUGACCCGGCGGAGACCAUCAUCAUCGGGCACAUCAUCUGGUUCCUCUUGAUCUUCAGCAGCUUCACCCGUUGCAGCAUCAUUGGGCACAUCGUCUGGUUCCUCUUGAUCUUCACCAGCUCCCCCCGUUGCAGCAUCACCGUAUUCAGGGGGCACAUAGUUGUCAUCGUACUCUUCUUCUUCGCCGUCUUCCAUCAUAACCCCUAUUUCUCCGUGCCUCGUUCAAACAUUAUAGUGUGGCAUGAAACUCUUGUAAAGCAGGUGGGAGUGAAGGAUUUUCCGGUUAGAGUAAGACCUCGUAUUCCCACAUUCAGUGCAUGAACAACACAUAAAACCAUUCUGCUUGUUUGCCUCAGCCGCAUCGAGAAACUCAUGCACGCCCUUAAUGUACUCGCAGGUGUGUCUGUCACCGUACAUCCAUUGCCGGUUCAUCUGCGUACAUUAUAUAUAAUUAAGUGUCCAAAUUAAUAGAAGUUCAUCAUCACAUUAAAACCAAAGUGCAUACAUAGUUCUCAUCUAACAACAUAUAGCUCUCCAGAGCAUCUAAUUAAUUAAACCAUACAUUGAAACUAUGUAAAACAUUUCAAUGCGAAAACAAAUGCGAUCAUAAUCGCAACCAAGGUAACAAUUGAUCCAACGGCAUAAUGAUACCAAGCCUCGGUAUGAAUGGCAUAUUUUCUAAUCUUUCUAAUCUUCAAGCGCAUUGCAUCCAUCUUGAUCUUGUGAUCAUCGACGACAUCCGCAACAUGCAACUCCAAUAUCAUCUUCUCCUCCUCAAUUUUUUUAUUUUUUCCUUCAACAAAUUGUUUUCUUCUUCAACUAAAUUUAACCUCUCGACAAUAGGGUCGGUUUGCAUUUCUGAUUCACAUACAUCCUACAUAAAUAAAAUCUAUGUCACGUUGGUCGGCAUAAUUUUCACAAACAAUAAAUGAACCAAUAGUUAUAAAGAUAAUAUAUAUACCACAUCCGAAUCAUAGACAGGACGAGGGCCAACGGGGCGGAUACCAAAACCAUCGCACUAUAUAAGAUGCAAUAAUAAAAGUAAGAAAAUAAUACAAGUAUCUAUAUAAACAUACAAGUAAGAAUAUUUUUCCUUGCAGAAAGAAGAUAAGAACAAGAGGCUCACCAUGGUGGUGCCGGCGAUGAGCUCGGCGCGGGUGAUCGACGACGGUGAAGACGGGGACGGGGCGUGACGGACCGCUAAACCUAGACAAAUAUUCUGGAAAAUGAAGCUUGGAGGUCAAGCUUGGAGAGGAGAAAGCUUAAGUAGUGUGGCUCGGGCAUUCCACCGAGCACCUUGUGUGCAUAGGAGGUGAGCUAGAGCACCACCAAGCCCUCUCCCCCUCGGCCAGAAAAAAAUAGAGCAGUGUGCUCUGCUCUUAUGCGAGGGGGUAUAUAUAGGCACUUCAUUGGUCUCGGUUGAUGGCAUGAACCGGGACUAAAGGGGAGCCUUUGGUCCCGGUUCAAGCCACCAACCGGGACCAAUGGUGGUGGGCCAGGAGCGAGGCCCAUUGGUCCCGGUUCAUCCCACCAACCGGGACCAAAAGGUCCAGAUGAACCGGGACCAAUGGUCCACGUGGCCCGGCCAGCCCUGGGCUCACGAACCGGGACCAAUGCCCCCAUUGGUCCCGGUUCUGGACUGAACUGGGACUAAUGGGCUAACCUGGCCUGGACCAAAGCCCCGUUUUCUACUAGUGCGAGGACAUCGUGCGCCUGAGGGGAGUACUUGAAGACGAUCUGGUCCUCGGGUUGGAAGUUCCUGGAGGACGCCCAUGUGCUGUAGUUGGUGCCGAGGUCCCACGCUCUGCCGGGCUCGCCGACAUUGUAGAUUGCAGCCGAGGCGGUGCUCAGGAUGGCCAUGGCGGCCACAGAGAGGAGAAUGUUUCUGGUGACGGCCAUGGCAGUAGGACCUGCUGGAAGCAAGGCAGUGAGAGCUAGUAGAGGAGAUACUAGUCGGAUGCUACUAUACUGAACCUUGAGGUGAGAUUAUGUUGUCGGGUCCUAUAUAGACAAACUCAUGGCCACGUGGGUUGAGAAACGCGGGCGAUAGGUGAAAGCGUAGAAUAUAGAGUACUCCCUCCUGUCCUUUUUAAUUUGCAUAUAAAAUUUGUCUGAAGUCAAACCUCGUAAACUUUGACCAAGUUUAUAGGAAAAAAUUACCAACAUUCAGAAUAUGAGAUCAACAACAUUAGAUGCGUCCUGACCUUAGUUUUUAUAUUGUAUAAAUUAAGCAUUGUAGAUGUUAAUAUUUUUUUAUUUAAAUAUGGUCAAACUUCAUGAAGUUUGACUUCAGACAAUUCUUAUAUGCAGAGUAAAAAGGACCGGAGGGAAUACGUAGGAACACGAGCUAGGUAUGCAAGUAGUACGUACUUGGUCAUACUCAAACACCUAGAUAGAUAUAUAAUAAAUAAUAGACUGAAGAUGUUAAGACCUUUUCAAGUGUUCUCAUGGCAUAUAUAGAAGCCAUUGUACUUGGCCUGCUGCUUCAAUACCGACGCAGUCUGGGCUCCAAUCCUCAAAGGAGACGUAGUUGACUAUCAUAACUGAUAAAUCUUGUAUAAGUAGACCCAUAGGGCCAGCCGCAUUUAAACUCUCAGUCUAAAAAAAGUUUUAACCUCCUCUAUUAAAAUUGGCAGGUUUAUUGUAUAUAUGAACUCCCCGUCACAACUUUCAACUUAAGAGGUAAAAGCUCCAACAUUGCAUCAUCCUGAAUUGCAAAAUAACGGCUCAUGAAAAAAAGACUGAGCGGUAAUAUUACAUUAAAGUAAAUUUUAUGUACUAACGAGGACUACUUUUGAUUAUAGUGAUGAAAGAUUUUCGAAGGAUAAGUAUUAUUUGUCAACCAAUGUUGGAUAGAAGUCUGGUAUAUUUGUAUUAUUUGUCGUACUCAUAGCAUCUUUAUGCUAUGUAUAACACUUGAAAUCUAUCAUUUCCUACCAGACCAUCUUGAUGAAUGCUGCGUCGCGCUGCAUGGGCCAUGACUAUCCCUGGAUGAAGCACUUUUAUCCAAUGCAGCUGGUAUUUUUACAUUACUGAACAAUGGUGCCUGGACUGGGGAAAUUUUGGUCCCUCAGAGCGUUGAUAGUGAUCAUCCUCCAGCCCCAAGAACAUAAUAGGGCAGUACCCGUCACCCACUCCCAUGGCUCUCUCUCCCUCGACGACGGUGAUUGUCCCGUGCAACACCAGAAACAGGAACAUGUGUGGCACUCCAUCAUCCAAAAAGCAGGGAUUUUCCCAGCCGAUUUUGAUCCAGUAUGUCCGGGGUCGGGGGCAUCCUAGUUGUUCUUCACCAUUUGUUGCAGCUGGUUGUUCGGGAUAGUUCAUUUACAAUCAGGGGCAAUACUAAUUGCAUGUCUAAUCUAAUUAUGUAUUUCUGUACUACAAGUUUAAGUUACGAAAUUGUUGGUUCUCACGUUUUAGAAUGAACGUGUUUCAAGACAAAUGUUGUAUAAGACCAAAAGAAUAUUUAUUAAUAAAUCCUCCAAAAUGAAUCAGCAAUACACAAAGCCUGAAUACACCCAACAUACACAUAACUACUUGAUCAUACACACACAGAUAGUUGCUAGUAAUAAUUACUUGAAUAUACAUAAAAUACACAUGUGCCCGCGAGUCCAGAGAUGCACUCAAGCCAUGAGGCCGGCAAUGGCAAGCAAAACGGCGAGGCCAAACCCCGUGGCCUCCACAUUGGUGGCAGCAGAGACAGGUGUCGGCGGGGGAGCAUUGCUUGCACUUGGGCCGUUGGCCGGGACGGGUGACUUAGAGGAGGAGCCUGGCAUGACAUCGAUCUUAACCUUCAUGCCGCCCGCGCAAUGACCAGGGAAACCACAGAUGAAGUACCGGGUGCCGGUGGCUGUGAAGGUGACAACAUCAUUCCCGGAGUUGAAGGUGGUGAUGGGGUUGGCCGUGCUGCAAGAGUCGUAGUCUGCCUUGCUGACUUCAAGGACAUCGUGUGCCUGAGGGGAGUACUUAAAGACGAUCUGAUCGUUGGUUUGGAAGUUCCUAGAGGACGCCCAAGUGCCGUAGUUGGUGCUGAGGUCCCAUGCGCCGCCCGGCUCACCCACGUUGUAGGUUGCCGCUGACGCGGUGCUCAGGACGGCCAUCGCAGCCAUGGCGAGAAGAAUGGUUCUCUUGGCAGCCAUUGCGGUUGGAACUGUAAAGAGAGCUAGCAGAGGAGAUUAUAACUUGUAAGGCAGGUGUGUAUCGAUCCUUGAGUGGAGAAUGUGUUUGCUUUCCUAGGAGGCAGUGUCGGGUCCUUUAUAUAGAACAAUACACAGGCUAGACCCGGUGUGAUGGAGAAACAUGUGCGGUUGGUGGGAUCGUAGAAUGAAGUUUGUGUACCUGGAUUUUGGACUUCGAAUAUUGUGUGUAGGUGGGAACACAAGCAGCUGGUACGUACUUGAUCAAAAUAGACCGAGGAUGUGAAGACCGGGCUGUGCUGUUGGCGGGCUGACCAUUUCACGCGUUCUUUCCUUUUUCUACAGUAUCGACGCGGUCUACAAGAACAUGAGGUAGACUAUCACGAUCCACAUAGCUUCUGACGUUGAUCCAAUUGUCCAAAGCAUUAUUUUGACAGAGCUUUUUUUAUUAGUGCAUUUGACAUAUUAAAGAGACCCUAAAAUUUUGUUGUUGGAAUGAUCUAAUUACAAGUACACCUGCGAAAAGAAAAAUUACAAGUACAAAUGAUACAGUUGGUCACUAUAAUGUUAUCCUAUAUACCUAAGUUAACAGAGCUAAACUAGCCAUUAGUACUACUCUAUUACAUAGAAAAUUGGGGGUCCUACUGAUUUGGAGGCCCGGUGCAGCCGAACACUCUGCACAGGUGCAUGGUACGGGUGGCCUGUUGCGUGCCUUGAUUUGGAUCGUAGACACUACACACUAGUGUAGAAUCUUGAUUUUCUCAGCAAAAAAAAGUGCAAGGAAAGCACAGUGAUUGCCGUCAACUAUAAUAAUAUCUAUGGCCAAUAAUAGUUGCUCGUGCUUGUCGCGCUAUUCAUCACCCUGGGUGAUGAAUAGUUAUUCAUCAUCCCCUCUCUAUUUUGACAUCAAUGCACCGUAUUUUACGUUUCGUAAUUUUUUUUUAUUUCAUAUAUAAAAAGAGAACAUAAGAAAAUAUGUACUCGCCGUAAAAAUAUAUUUUACGUUAUGUAAAAUUACGAAUGCAAAAACAUAGUGUAAAACAUACAUAAAAUGUGAUUUUUCUGGUUUAUAACCUAUAUUUUUAUUUUUUUAUACCAAAUUUUACAUAUUGAAUCAAUAUGCAUGUAACUAUUUAUAUUCUAAACGUAAUUUAUUUAGGAAACGAUAGUAAGAUUACCUUGGGUGAAGAAUAACUUAUUUUGUAUCCUGGGUGAUGAAUAGUAACACUAUAUAUAUACACACACACAUUUUGCUAUAUAGAGACCUUUUACGGACGGUUUCAAAUUGUGGACUGAUUCUAAUAGCAAGAUUAGUAUUUUCAAAAUCAACGUGUUUGCUUUUUAAAUGACACGUUAAAGUAUCUCGUAAUGAAAUUUUACACAUGCAUAAAAUACAUCUUUGCAUGUGUGUCAAUUUUUCCCCUUUUUUGCCACUUCAAAAUUUAAUUUCGAUUUUUUUGAACGGUUAUUUUUGAUUUUUUCAAAAAUGUAGAUCAUAUCGAGCCUGUGAUCCAAUACAAAUUUCUACCGUUGGUGCCAAGAUAAAUAUGACUUCAUUUUAGAUAAAAUUUAGUUGAAUUGCAGACUGAAAACUCCAUUUUAGCAGUUUUAAAUGUGCUAAGUGUUAGCCCAGGUAAACUUUCUACCGGAAAGAUCUAUCUCUCUCAGAUCCAAGCUUUCAAUAAUGGUAUUGAACAUAAACGACCAUCUGCCGUCAAAAUUAUCAUUAUUCUUUUCCUCUCUCCUCCUUAUGAUGUUGAAGUCACCCCCAACCAAAAUUGGGAGCUACUCGGAUCCGCAAAUUAGAACCAGGUCCGCCAAAAACUCCGGUUUAAGCUCGGGUUGUGCAGCACCAUACACCGGCACCAGAGCCCGGUUAAACCCAUCAGCUUUGGACCUGACCUGAAAUUUAACUGUGAAGUCACCCAUCACUACACUUCGGACUUCCAGCGAAUCGCAUCUCACUACAAGCAAGAUCCCAUCCGAUCUUCCUCGCGGAGGAAGGCAAUGCCAAUCAAAAUCGACACCACCCGAUAAAGUGCUGAGAAACUGAGGCGCAAAAUUAUCCCUACCAGUUUCAGAGAGAGCAAUGAAAUCUAGUCGAUGCUCAAGAGACGCCUCAGCAAGAAACCUUCUUUUAGUCAAGUCCUUCAGACCUCUGCUAUUCCAAAAGAUUCCUUUCAUAUGUCAUCAUGAAAUUUUUUGGCCGUUCGAAUCCUAGCACUCCUACGAACCGCGGAAGCAGGAUAAACCUUCUGCUUCCACUUACGCUUGGGUUUACUAUGGUCCUCCAUUCGGUCCUCAUAAUCGGGGUCAGUUGGUCUUGCUACUGCAUCCUCUAGAACUGCAUCCUCUUCCUCAGAUUCAAGAGUGGAUGGUGCAAGAUCCGCACAGAAGUUAUCGAGCACUCUUACCCCUAACGCAUCAAUCUCUGCAUCAUUCAUAGGUUUUACUGCUGCAAGGUUUCAGAUUGUUUCUAAAGCGCAUUCUGCUUCCAAAUCUAGAAGAUCAUUAACCGAGUUAGAAAUUUCACUAUUAGUACUCCCUAGCGAAACUCCUAAUUGGUUGGCAUUAUUAAUAAUCUCAUCUUUAGAAAAAUGCAAUAUAGAAUUAGACAUGUUGACUGACAUACCAGUGGUGACCUCAAUGUCACGAAGCUUGGCCGCCCUCAUAGCGCACCUCUGUUGCAUGUCAUCAACCUCCGGGUGGUCCUGGAGACAAGAACUCAUCUGUCGCCCCGCAGAGACCGGGUCAGGGAGCCCACCAAAGGCAAUGACCUCCUCCCGAGUAAAACCUCGCGCUGAAGAGUCCGCCAAGGAUACCGGAGGAGGCGGCGGUGGGCUCCGAAGCCCCACGGACGGGAAGCCGGGGGAGGGAGGCGCGGGCGCCGCCUGCCCGAACUCUCCCCCGCCCCAACCCUCUGUCCUGAAGGCGUCGCUGUCUUGACUGCCGAAGGAGGAGGAGGUGUCGAGGCCACCUGCCCCAGACCCCUACCCAGCACCAUUAGAGAAGCGGCCGCUCUAGCCGCCACCAUAGGAGAAGGAACUAGGUUUACCUGACCCAGAUGGCCUUCCCCACGGCCGGCCAUCGGCGGCGUCACCAGCGUAUCCGGCGCCAGGAUAGGAGGAGAAGAGGUCGAGGCCACCUGCCCCGGACUCCCCACCUAGGCACAACCUCCAAAGCAGACGACGUCUCUCGGCCCGAGUCCACUGGGGGAGCGGGGGAAAGCGAAACCACCUGAGGCUCCAUCUCCCCACCCCCACCAAGGUCGUCGCCGAGUGCGUCCCCAUCAAGCCUCCCACCACAGGACUAUCAACAACAUCAAACUCCAACACCGGAAGCGUGCACUCAAAAACAUCAUCAGAAUCCACCCGGUCGCUCCAAAUUCUGGGAGGGGCAGACGCUGGCUCAAAGGACCCAAACCGCAAAGUACUCAUCCGCACCGACGGAGCUGGGGCCGGCUCCACCCCGGGCCCAUCCCCGGGCAACUGAGCAACAUGUCCCGAUCCGUUGGACCUCUCUCGUCCAGCCUCAUCAGUCGGGUCCCCACUAGCACCCGCGUUGUCGUCACCCUCGUGCAUAUCCACAUCAGUCCCAUUAACCGCCUCGGCAAACGACUCUGUAUCCUCAAACUCAAUCUCAAGAGGAAACACCUCUCCCCUAUAAGUCCACUUGACCACAUCCGGGACGAACUCAAUGUCCAGAACUGAAGGAAAUAUGCCAUAGAGGCAAUAAUAAAGUUAUUAUUUAUUUCCUUACUUCACGAUAAAUGUUUAUUAUUCUUGCUAGAAUUGUAUUAACCGGAAACAUAAUACAUUUGUGAAUACAUAGACAAACAGAGUGUCACUAGUAUGCCUCUACUUGACUAGCUCGUUGAAUCAAAGAUGGUUAAGUUUCCUAACCAUAGACAUGAGUUGUCAUUUGAUUAACGGGGUCACAUCAUUAGAGAAUGAUGUGAUUGACUUGACCCAUUCCGUUAGCAUAGCACUUGAUCGUUUAGUUUGUUGCUAUUUCUUUCUUCAUGACUUAUACAUGUUCCUAUGACUAUGAGAUUAUGCAACUCCCGUUUACCGAAGGAACACUUUGUGUGCCACCAAAUGUCACAACGUAACUGGGUGAUUAUAAAGGUGCUCUACAGGUGUCUCCGAAGGUACUUGUUGGGUUGGCGUAUUUCGAGAUUAGGAUUUGUCACUCCGAUUGUCGGAGAGGUAUCUUUGGGCCCACUCGGUAAUGCACAUCACUAUAAGCCUUGCAAGCAUUGCAACUAAUGAGUUAGUUGUGGGAUGAUGUGUUACAGAAUGAGUAAAGAGAGUUGCCGAUAACGAGAUUGAACUAGGUAUUGAGAUACCGACGAUUGAAUCUCGGGCAAGUAACAUAUCGAUGACAAAGGGAACAACGUAUGUUGUUAUGCGGUUUGACCGAUAAAGAUCUUCGUAGAAUAUGUGGGAGCCAAUAUGAGCAUCCAGGUUCCGCUAUUGGUUAUUAACCGGAGACGUGUCUCAGUCACGUCUACAUAGUUCUCGAACCCGUAGGGUCCGCACACUUAAAGUUUGAUGAUGGUUAUAUUAUGAGUUUAUGUGUUUUGAUGUACCGAAGGAGUUUGGAGUCCCAGAUGAGAUCGGGGACAUGACGAGGAGUCUCAAAAUGGCCGAGACGUAAAGAUCGAUAUAUUGGACGACUAUAUUCGGACUUCGGAAAUGUUCCGAGUGAUUCGGGUAUUUUUCGGAGUACCGGAGAGUUACGGGAAUUCACCGGGGAGUAUAUGGGCCUUAUUGAGCCAUACGGGAAUAGAGGAGAGAGGCCAAAAGGAAGGAGGACUGCGCCCCCCCUCUGGUCCGAAUUGGACAAGGGGUGCAGCCCCCUUUUCCUUCUCCCUCUCCUCCUCUUUCCUUCUCUCCAACUCCAACAAGGAAAGGAGGAGUCCUACUCCCGGUAGGAGUAGGACUCCCCCCCCUUGGCGCGCCCUUCUCCUAGGCCGGCCGCCUCCCCACUUGCUCCUUUAUAUACAGGGGCAGGGGGGCACCUCUAGACACAGAAGUUGAUCAAGUUGAUCGUCUCUUAGCCGUGUGCCACUACCAGAAACCUGUUAAUCUGUGACGGAUUUCUGAUGACAUUCUGAGAAUCCGUCAUAGUCGAUGACGGUUUUCCCCAGUCCGUCAUGGAAACCGUCAUCGAUCGGCAAGAUGCAAACAUGUGCAGAAACUUCAUGAAGCCCUAUGGCCUAUCUAUUUUCCUGGACAAUGAAGAUUUUAAUUUUUAAUAAAAAAAUGAAGUCGGGACUCAAUCCCCAAGUCCUUUUGGGUUAAAAUACUAGCGUGUGACAACAACUCUACCGGCCUGAAUAAAGGAGCAUUCGGAUGUUUCCUUUCGGUAAUACACGGACAAUAUAAGUUUUAUGAAUAAAAUAGUGCGCCAUGGAUCCGAUAUCAUGCACGUCUCGCGUAUUUGAUAGUUCAAUUCUUAUUGGUAAUGUGGUGUGAUAGACAUAAAGCUUUGCACUCGCUCUAAAAAACUAUAUACAUAAUAUGUGACUCCACAAACUAAUUGAUAUUUACUUGAAAAAAUAUGAAUAUAAUUUGUUAAUUUCAUCCGCAUGGAAUCAAAAGAGGAACUUCUUCUCUCUUUUUUAACUAUAGUAUAAUUUAUUCUCAAAACCAUCAUGAUCCGCCAGGAGAAGAUGACAUAACGAGUUGUCGGGCUUAGCUUUGUUUUUCUAGCGUUGUCCAAAACUGUCAUGGCCUGGUGUUGCUCUUUUUCUCUCAAGGAAACAGAACGCUCCAGCUGAUGUGGCAAUCCAGUGUGAGGGCAAACUCGCGUUUUGAUUGGCUGACCAAGCCAUCCCACGGAUCACAGAUCCAAACUGUCUGCUCCUCUGAGAUCCGACGGCUAGCCAAGCUCCCACCUCUUUCUCGUGUCUUCUUCUAGAGAGCACCAACGCCCCCACACCUCCCGAACCCAAACAUCCCCACUUCCCCAGUACCCACCUCCACCAGCCCCCGCCAGCUGGUGCCUCUCCUUCCCUCCUGGAUCCUCACCGUCGUGCACAGAUCAUCCCCUCCCGACGCCUCCACGCCGUGCCCAGCUAGUCCUCAACCGGCCAUGCCGCCCGCACUGCCACCGCGCCACCGCGCUGUCUCCCACGGCCGGAUCCUGUUCAGAUCCCCAAGGCCACCGUAAUGGUGGAUCACGGCGUGGCCACGGGCUUCCUCCAUCCCUACACAACGUCCACGGGUGCUCGCACCUGGCCCAUCUCCUUCCUCAGAUCCAGCGUCUAGCGAUUGGGUUGGAGCAUCGCCAGUGUACGCUCAGGGGAGAUUGACUUCCUCAGAUCCGUUCCCUACAACAAGCGCCACCAACCCUCCUCUGCCCCUGUCCCCCCCAAUCAGCCUGAUCCAUUCCGUGAAGGCUGACCUAGUGCACGCGCGUUAGUGCCCUUGAUGCAGGUCGUGCCUCCUCUGGCUUGCCCUUGAUGCAGGUCGCUGCAUCAUGCAAGCGGGUUUGUUCGUGGGCUUGCCAAACCGCGAUGACGAGAUCCGCAAUGGGUACAGAUGCUCGAGGUGCGAGGGCAAUAUGGGUGCCACCAUGUUCUCGUGAUCCCCAUCCAACGCCUCACAUCCAAUGUACAGAAGCGGCAUCGAAUCGAGCUAAAAACGGUGAGGAGCACCACCCACCAGAGUCAUGUCGUCCACCAUGAAGAGAUAGGAUGUGGAGAAUCUCCAGCGAGGGAUGGGCUGAGAUGGAGUGGGAGUUGUGGCCUUAGUUGCAAAUGUCCUUGUAAUUUUAGUUUUUAAUUUGAGUUUAUUUUCAUUCGUUCUUGGUUGUAAUGUUUUUUGAGAUAAUGUUGUAAUUUGAUUUUAUUUAAUGAUAUGGGCAGAAAUCUAUAUAAAGUUAUCGACUCAAAAAACAAAUAAUGUAUGAGCCCAAAAUAUGUAUAGACCCCAAAUUAGUUGGUAGCUGACUUGGACAAAAACUAGUGAGCUAAACAGAAUUAGUGGGUCAAAAUCCUAUUUGGACUGAUUAUUACAUGGGCCAAAAUUCUAUUUAGCCCAUUUACCACACAGGUCAUACUAAAAUUAGUGGGCCAAAAUUAUACUUGGGCUGAUAAACAUAUGGGCUGCCAUGUGAGAUUCAUGUUGGCCGCCAUGUCAGAUGAUGACAUGGAAUGUAUGGUCAACGCUGUUAUCUAACAAUAAUAUGUGACGGCCGAGAACCGUCAUGGAUCCAUGACGGAUCUGGUGAUCCGUCAAGGAGUGCAUGGUGAUCAAAUUAUGACGUGAUAUACAUGACGGAUUUUCAGUCCGUCAUGGCCGUCCAAUCAUGACGAUUAUGGACACAUAUGUGACAGCUUCAAUCUGUCAUGGAUUAACACAUUUCUUGUAGUGUGCGGUGCCCCCCCUCCAUCAUAGUUCACCUCGAUAAUACUGUAGCGGUGCUUAGGCGAAGCCCUGCGUCGGUAGAACAUCAACAUCGUCACCACGCCAUCGUGCUGACGAAACUAUGCCUCAACACUCGGCUGGAUCGGAGUUCAAGGGACGUCAUCGGGCUGAACGUGUGCUGAACUCGGAGGUGCUGUAUGUUCGGUACUUGAUCGGUCGGAUCGUGAAGACGUACGACUACAUCAACCAUGUUGUGCUAACGCUUCCGCUUACGGUUUACGAGGGUACGUGGACAAUACUCUCCCCUCUUGUUGCUAUGGAUCACCAUGAUCUUGCGUGUGUGUAGGAAUUUUUUUGAAAUUACUACGUUCCCCAACAGUGGUAUCAGAGCCAGGUUUUAUGCGUUGAUGUUGUGCACGAGUAGAACACAAGUGAGUUGUGGGCGAUAUAAGUCGUACUGCUUACCAGCAUGUCAUACUUUGGUUCGGCGGUAUUGUUGGAUGAAGCGGCCCGGACCGACAUUACGCGUAUGCUUAUGCGAGACUGGUUCUACCGACGUGCUUUGCACACAGGUGGCUGGCGGGUGUCAGUUUCUCCAACUUUAGUUGAACCAAGUGUGGCUACGCCCGGUCCUUGCGAAGGUUAAAACAGCACCAACUUGACAAACUAUCGUUGUGGUUUUGAUGCGUAGGUAAAAUUGGUUCUUGCUUAAGCCCGUAGCAGCCACGUAAAACUUGCAACAACAAAGUAGAGGACGUCUAACUUGUUUUUGCAGGGCAUGUUGUGAUGUGAUAUGGUCAAGACAUGAUGCUGAAUUUUAUUGUAUGAGAUGAUCAUGUUUUGUAACCGAGUUAUUGGCAACUGGCAGGAGCCAUAUGCUUGUCGCUUUAUUGUAUGCAAUGCAAUUGCGCUGUAAUGCUUUACUUUAUCACUAAGCGGUAGCGAUAGUCGUGGAAGCAUAAGAUUGGCGAGACGACAAUGAUGCUACUAUGGUGAUCAAGGUGUCGCGCCGGUGACGAUGGUGAUCAUGACGGUGCUUCGGAGAUGGAGAUCACAAGCACAAGAUGAUGAUGGCCCUAUCAUAUCACUUAUAUUGAUUGCAUGUGAUGUUUAUCUUUUAUGCAUCUUAUCUUGCUUUGAUUGACGGUAGCAUUAUAAGAUGAUCUCUCACUAAAUUUCAAGAUAAAAGUGUUCUCCCUGAGUAUCCACCAUUGCCAAAGUUCAUCGUGCCCAGACACCACGUGAUGAUCGGGUGUGAUAAGCUCUACGUCCAUCUACAACGGGUGCAAGCCAGUUUUGCACACGCAGAAUACUCAAGUUAAACUUAAAGAGCCUAGCAUAUGCAGAUAUGGCCUCGGAACAAUGAGACCGAAAGGUCGAGCGUGAAUCAUAUAUUAGAUAUGAUCAACAUAUUGAUGUUCACCAUUGAAAGCUACUCCAUUUCACGUGAUGAUCGGUUGUGGUUUAGUUGAUUUGGAUCACGUGAUCACUUAGAAGAUUAGAGGGAUGUCUUUCUAAGUGGGAGUUCUUAAGUAAUAUGAUUAAUUAAACUUUAAUUUAUCAUGAACUUAGUCCUGGUAGUAUUAGCAUAUCUAUGUUGUAGAUCAAUAGCUCGUGUUAUAGCUCCCCUGUUUUAUUUUUGAUAUGUUCCUAGAGAAAAUUAAGUUGAAAGAUGUUAGUAGCAAUGAUGCGGAUUGGAUCCGUGAUCUGAGGAUUAUCCUCAUUACUGCACAGAAGAAUUAUGUCCUUAAUGCACCGCUAGGUGACAGACCUAUUGCAGGAGCAGAUGCAGACGUUAUGAACGUUUGGCUAGCUCAAUAUGAUGACUACUUGAUAGUUUAGUGCACCAUGCUUAAACGGCUUAGAAUCGGGACUUCAAAGAUGUUUUGAACGUCAUGUACCAUAUGAGAUGUUCCAGGAGUUGAAGUUAAUAUUUCAAGCAAAUACCCGAGUUGAGAGAUAUGAAGUCUCCAACAAGUUCUAUAGCUAAAAGAUGGAGGAGAAUAGCUCAAGCAGUGAGCAUGUGCUCAGAUUGUCUGGGUACUACAAUCGCUUGAAUCAAGUGGGAGUUAAUCUUCCAGAUAAGAUAGUGAUUGACAGAAUUCUCUAGUCACCAUCACCAAGUUAGUAGAACUUCGUGAUGAACUAUAGUAUGCAAGGGAUGAUGAAAACGAUUUCCGAGCUUUUCAUGAUAAUGAAAUCGAUGAAGGUAGAAAUCAAGAAAGAGCAUCAAGUGUUGAUGAUUAACAAAACCACUAGUUUCAAGAAAAGGGCAAAGGGAAAGAAAGGGAACUUCAAGAAGAACGGCAAGCAAGUUGCUGCUCAAGUGAAGAAGCCCAACUCUGGUCCUAAGCCUGAGACUAAGUGCUUCUACUGCAAAGGGACUGGUCACUGGAAGCGGAACUGCCCCAAGUAUUUGGCGGAUAAGAAGGAUGGCAAAGUGAACAAAGGUAUAUUUGAUAUACAGAUUAUUGAUGUGUAUUUUACUAGUGUUCGUAGCAACCCCUCGGUAUUUGAUACUGGUUCAGUUGCUAAGAGUAGUAACUCGAAACGGGAGUUGUAAAAUGAACAGAGACUAGUUAAGGGUGAAGUGACGAUGUGUGUUGGAAGUGGUUCCAAGAUUGAUAUGAUCAUCAUCGCACACUCCCUAUACUUUCGGGAUUAGUGUUGAACCUAAAUAAGUGUUAUUUGGUGUUCGCGUUGAGCAUGAAUAUGAUUUGAUCAUGUUUAUUGCAAUACAGUUAUUCAUUUAAGUAAGAGAAUAAAUUGUUGUUCUGUUUACAUGAAUAAAACCUUCUAUGGUCAUACACCCAAUGAAAAUGGUUUGUUGGAUCUCGAUUGUGGUGAUACACAUUCUCAUAAUAUUGAAGCCAAAAGAUGCAAAGUUAAUAAUGAUAGUGCAACUUAUUUGUGGCACUGCCGUUUAGGUCAUAUUGGUGUAAAGCGCAUGAAGAAAAUCCAUGCUGAUGGGCUUUUGGAAUCACUUGAUUAUGAAUCAGUUGAUGCUUGCGAACCGUGCCUCAUGAGCAAGAUGACUAAGACUCCGUUCUCCGGAACAAUGGAGCAAGCAACUGACUUAUUGGAAAUAAUACAUACUGAUGUAUGCAGUCCGAUGAAUGUUGAGGCUCGCGGUGUGUAUCGUUAUUUUCUGACCUUCACAGAUGAUUUGAGCAGAUAUGGGUAUAUCUACUUGAUGAAACAUAAGUCUGAAACAUUUGAAAAGUUCAAAAACUUCAGAGUGAAGUGGAAAAUCAUCGCGACAAGAAAAUAAAGUUUCUACGAUCUGAUCGCAGAGACAAAUAUUUGAGUUACGAGUUUGGUCUUCAAUUAAAACAGUGUGGAAUAGUUUCACAAAAUCGUGCCACCUGGAACACCACAACAUAAUGGUGUGUCCGAACAUCAUAACCGUACUAUUAUUGGAUAUAGUGCAAUCUAUGAUGUUUCUUACCGAUUAACCACUAUAGUUUUGAGGUUAUGCAUUAGAGACAGCUACAUUCACAUUAAAGAGGGCACCAUCUAAAUCUGUUGAGACGACACCGUAUGAACUAUGGUUUGGCAAGAAACCUAAGCUGUCGUUUCUUAAAGUUUGAGGUUGCAAUGCUUAUGUGAAAAAGUUUCAACCUGCUAAGCUCAAACCCAAAUUGGAGAAGUGCGUCUUCAUAGGAUACCCAAAAGAAAAUGUUGGGUACACCUUCUAUCACAGAUCCGAAGGCAAUAUAUUCAUUGGUGAGAAUGGAUCUUUUCUAGAGAAGGAGUUUCUCUCGAAAGAAGUGAGUGGGAGAAAAGUAGAACUUGAUGAGGUAACUAUACCUGCUCCCUUAUUGGAAAGUAGUUCAUCACAGAAAUCUGUUCCUGUGACUACUACACCAAUUAGUGAGGAAGCUAAUGAUGAUGAUCAUAUAACUUCAGAUCAAGUUACUACCGAACCUCGUAGGUAAACCAGAGUGAGAUCCGCACCAGAGUGGUACUGUAAUCCUGUUCUGGAGGUCAUAUUACUUGACCAUGAGGAACCUACGAACUAUGAGGAAGCGAUGAUGAGCCCAGAUUCCACGAAAUGGCUUGAGGCCAUGAAAUCUGAGAUGAGAUCCAUGUAUAAGAACAAAGUAUGGACUUUGAUUGACUUGCCCAAAGAUCGGCGAGCCAUUGAGAUUAAAUGGAUCUUCAAGAGGAAGACGGACGCUGAUAGUAGUGUUACUAUCUACAAAGCUAGAAUUGUCGCAAAAGGUUUUCGACAAGUUCAAGGUGUUGACUACGAUGAGAGUUUCUCACUAUUAUCUAUGCUUAAGCCUGUCCGAAUCAUGUUAGCAAUUACCGCAUUUUAUGAAAUCUGGCAAAUGGAUAAACAAAACUGCAUUCCUUAAUGGAUUUAUUAAAGAAGAGUUGUAUAUGAUGCAACCAGAAGGUUCUGUCAAUCCUAAAGGUACUAACAAAAUAUGCAAGCUCCAGCGAUCCAUCUAUGGACUGGUGCAAACAUCUUGGAGUUGGAAUAUACGCUUUGAUAAGUUGAUCAAAGCAUAUAGUUUUAUACAGACUUGCGGUGAAGCCUGUAUUUACAAGAAAGUGAGUGGGAGCACUACAACAUUUCUGAUAAGCAUAUGCGAAUGACAUAUUGCUGAUCGGAGAUAAUGUAGAAUUAUUCUGCAAAGCAUAAAGGAAUGUUUGAAAGGAGUUUUUCAAAGAAAGACCUCGGUGAAGCUGCUUACAUAUUGAGCAUCAAGAUCUAUAGAGAUAGAUCAAGAUGCUUGAUAAGUUUUUCAAUGAGUACAUACCUUGACAAGAUUUUUAAGUAGUUCAAAAUGGAACAGUCAAAGAAGGAGUUCUUGCCUGUGUUACAAGGUGUGAAGUUGAGUAAGACUCAAAACCCGACCACGGCAGAAGAUAGAGAGAGAAUGAAAGUCAUUCCCUAUGCCUUAGCCAUAGGUUCUAUAAAGUAUCAUGCUGUGUACCAGACCUAUUAUAUACCUUUCCCUGAGUUUGGCAAGGGAGUACAAUAGUGAUCUAGGAGUAGAUCACUGGACAUUGGUCAAAAUUAUCCUUAGUAGAAUAAGGACAUGUUUCUUGAUUAUGGAGGUGACAAAAGGUUCGUCGUAAAGGGUUACGUCGAUGCAAGUUUUGACACUGAUCCAGAUGACUCAAAGUCUCAAUCUGGAUAUAUAUUGAAAGUGGGAGCAAUUAGCUAGAGUAGCUUAGUGCAGAGCAUUGUUAACAUAGAGAUUUGCAAAAUACUUACGGAUCUGAAUGUGGCAGACCCGUUGACUAAACUUCUCUCACAAGCAAAACAUGAUUACACCUUAGUACUCUUUGGGCAUUAAUCACAUAGCGAUGUGAACUAGAUUAUUGAAUCUAGUAAACCCUUUGGGUGUUGGUCACAUGAUGAUGUGAACUAUGGGUGUUAAUCACAUGGUGAUGUGAACUAUUGAUGUUAAAUCAUAUGGCGAUGUGAACUAGAUUAUUGACUCUAGUGCAAGUGGGAGACUGAAGGAAAUAUGCCCUAGAGGCAAUAAUAAAGUUAUUAUUUAUUUCCUUACUUCAUGAUAAAUGUUUAUUAUUCAUGCUAGAAUUGUAUUAACCGGAAACAUAAUACAUGUGUGAAUACAUAGACAAACAGAGUGUCACUAGUAUGCCUCUACUUGACUAGCUCGUUGAAUCAAAGAUGGUUAUGUUUCCUAACCAUAGACAUGAGUUGUCAUUUGAUUAACGGGGUCACAUCAUUAGAGAAUGAUGUGAUUGACUUGACCCAUUCCAUUAGCAUAGCACUUGAUUGUUUACUUUGUUGCUAUUGCUUUCUUCAUGACUUAUACAUGUUCCUAUGACUAUGAGAUUAUGCAACUCCCGUUUACCGGAGGAACACUUUGUGUGCCACCAAACGUCACAACGUAACUGGGUGAUUAUAAAGGUGCUCUACAGGUGUCUCUGAAGGUACUUGUUGGGUUGGCGUAUUUCUUGAUUAGGAUUUGUCACUCCGAUUGUCGGAGAGGUAUCUCUGGGCCCACUCGGUAAUGCACAUCACUAUAAGCCUUGCAAGCAUUGCAACUAAUGAGUUAGUUGUGGGAUGAUGUGUUACAGAACGAGUAAAGAGACUUGCCGGUAACGAGAUUGAACUAGGUAUUGAGAUACCGACGAUCGAAUCUCGGGCAAGUAACAUACUGAUGACAAAGGGAACAACGUAUGUUGUUAUGCCGUUUGACCGAUAAAGAUCUUUGUAGAAUAUGUGGGAGCCAAUAUGAGCAUCCAGGUUCCGCUAUUGGUUAUUGACCGAAGACGUGUCUCGGUCAUGUCUACAUAGUUCUCGAACCCGUAGGGUCCGCACGCUUAAAGUUUGAUGACAGUUAUAUUAUGAGUUUAUGUCUUUUGAUGUACCGAAGGAGUUCGGAGUCCCGGAUGAGAUCGGGGACUUGACGAGGAGUCUCGAAAUGGUCGAGACGUAAAGAUCGAUAUAUUGGACGACUAUAUUCGGACUUCGGAAAGGUUCCAAGUGAUUUGGGUAUUUUUCGGAGUACUGGAGAGUUACGGGAAUUCGCCGGGGAGUAUAUGGGCCUUAUUGGGCCAUACGGUAAUAGAGGAGAGAGGCCAAAAGGAAGGAGGUCUGCGCCCCCCCCCUCUGGUCCGAAUUGGACAAGGGGUGCAACCCCCUUUUCCUUCUCCCUCUCCUCCUCUUUCCUUCUCUCCAACUCCAACAAGGAAAGGAGGAGUCCUACUCCCGGUAGGAGUAGGACUCCCCCUUGGCGCGCCCUUCUCCUAGGCCGGCCGCCUCCCCCUUGCUCCUUUAUAUACAGGGGGAGGGGGGCAUCUCUAGACACAGAAGUUCAUCAAGUUGAUCGUCUCUUAGCCGUGUGCGGUGCCCCUCUCCACCAUAGUCCACCUCGAUAAUACCGUAGCGGUGCUUAGGCGAAGCCCUGCGUCGGUAGAACAUCAACAUCGUCACCACACCGUCGUGCUGACGAAACUCUCCCUCAACACUCGGCUGGAUCGGAGUUCGAGGGACGUCAUCGGGCUGAACGUGUGCUGAACUCGGAGGUGCCGUACGUUCGGUACUUGAUCGGUCGGAUCGUGAAGAUGUACGACUAUAUCAACCGCGUUGUGCUAACGCUUCCGCUUACAGUCUAUGAGGGUACGUGGACAACACUCUCCCCUCUCAUUGCUAUGCAUCACCAUGAUCUUGCGUGUGUGUAGGAAUUUUUUUGAAAUUACUAUGUUCCCCAACAAGAACACUCACAAGGAGUUGGGCCACCCCAUGGGCGCGGGUGAAUGCCAUAUCCACUUUCUCAGUUUUUCCAACCAUUAUACCCAGAGUACCCACAACUCGAGCAUCUGUCAAAGGCUCAAAGGGAGCCCCGGAAAACCGCAGCCACACCUGAGUGAGCAGCUUUCCCUUAGGCUCCACCUUCUUGCACUCGUGAAAUUCCAGAAUGCGUAGUACCGGGGACCUUGCACAACCCAAAACUCAGCAACCUCUGCAAAUCGUCCACCGUUGGGAAAUCAACCCUAAACACAUUGUCCUCAAUAUGGACAAGCUCCCACUGAAAAUCACCUGGAGCCAGUUCCUGAAGUCUCUGCACAAUCUGAGCCUCAGAAACCACUCCCUGGUUAGCUUUCACAAUUCCGGUAGUCAAGCUCUGCGUCUCUACCGUAAUCUCUAUCGCAGCCGGGGACUCAAAGAACAUCAGCUCAGCAUAAUAUACUCCAUACAUCGUAAGAGCUGGGACCUGAUCACGCAGAAGUGGGAAAUCCCCCGAGGCAUGUGCUGGCUUACCACACGAAUCGCACAGCUCCGCCACGCACUCAGCAAUGAAGUGACCCUUCUCACCACAUCGAUAGCAUAGCAUCUUCUCCUUCUUACGCGCCCACUUGGAUGCCCUCUUAGACUUUGACCUGUCACCUGCCUCUGCAGAAACACCAGUAGCAGGAACCUCCACGUUGGCCAAUGCCGUCACUACCUCCAUCGCCUAGCUAGGCAGUUCGGUCGACGGAACAGGAUCGGCCGCCGGUGGCGGAGGCUGUCUGCGGUACCGACCACGACCACCACGAUGACCACGGUAUCCACCUCUCUGCCGAUAGUCUGGUCCAGAAGUUCCCUCGACAAAACCACCUGGAGGUCCGAGAAAUGGUCUCUCAGCAGAACCAUCACCCUGCCAAGCAUAACCACGUCCACCUCCCGUAGACGACGAUCCACGGUGCUAGCCAUCUCCAUAAGCAUCAUAUCCAUCGUCCCCCACUGUCCCCGGGGCGGUUCAUUGGACUCUCCUGCAACCUCGUUCUGCCUCGUCUGCGUUGGGCCCGAUCGUUUUUGCGUCGGCCUCGCGACGUAGUGCGGCGGUGGUGCGGCACGAGGCUGCGGAGUAGCACCACACCCCACAGCCGCAGGUGUCGAUGGCCUCGGCGGAGCAAAGCCGCUCCCCACAGUAGUAUUAGCCGGCGCGGGAGGCCGUAGACCACCACGCCCGACCGCCGUCAGCACACCCGCCGUCAGCGCAGGUCGCGGGCCGAGCGGAGCUCCCCGUCCAGCAAUCCGCGGGCCCUGAAGCGGCGGCUGAGAACCAAGGCCAGACCCGCCCCGACCCGAGGCGGCAGCAGCAAUCGGAGUCGGCGGUCUCGGGCCGUUCGCUCCACCACCACGACCCACGGCAGUGGGGUUUGCACCGGCCAGCGCUGGCGGUCGCGGCGCAGCCUGCGUCGCGCCCCCACGUCCAGCCCCAGCCGCCGGCAACGUUGGAGUGGCGCGACCGGUUCCCGGCAACAUAGCCGCCCCACCCGCGACAGCGCUUUUGCCUGGAGGCGCGGCUGACCCGCGGCCAGCCAUAGCCGGGAAGGCAGGGAUGCGUCGAGCCCUACCAGUUCCACACGCCCGGAACCCUGGCUUGCCGCGCCUCGGAACCCUAGACCAAGCAGACGACGGCGAACACAGAGGAAACGUGAUCGAACAAGUGCAUGGGGCGUCGCAGCUUGGAGGAAUAGGGGUCGGGUUAGCCUGGGCCACAUACCCAGCUAACCCUGGCCCGUCUAAGCUCGGGCCCAACUCACCCAGAGACGGCCCAACUGUACACGCACCCAUCUCGUGGCCCAACAGGCAAUUCAAAUGCAGCGCCCGCUUAGCGGAGAUCCCGAUCGCCCGAGCCGCCGGCGAUGACGCCAUAGCCGUCUCCGGCGCCCUAGACGCGGUUUGCCGGCGCGCAUUCUUAUUCCUCUCAAUUGUGAUCCACGAUUCCGGCCUAAUCAAAUCGAAAAGAGUAAGAUUUGGAAGACUUACCUUCGGGAGGGGACCUUUCCAUGGCCUGAUUGCCGUCGCCGCCGUUCUCCGGUGAACUACGCGACAGAUCAUUUCUUUCUUCUCUCCCGCGUGCAAUCCAAUUCUUGCCGGAUCGUCAGGUGGCAAAACACUAUCGAUUGUUGUUGCCACUUCAUCUUUGUUGUACCCUGAAUGAAAAAACUCACAUAUGAGAUCUGACGGAGUCGGAGACGGUGGAGAACUCGCCGGGAUCCCAUCCCCGUCGUCGUCUGCAUCCUCCUCAUCCGGAUUGGCAAGAGCCCAGAACCGGCCUCUGAUUCGCCGGCCAUCACCGGCGGCUAGGGACGGCACAGCCGCGACCGUGGCCCCGGUCGCCCGCCCAGUCGCCCUUUCGCCCAUCCCCACGUCGUUUCACCUCUCUCACUCAAACACCUAGAUAGACAGUAUAUAAUAAAUAAUAGACUGAAGAUGUUAAGACCGUUUCAAGCGUUCUCAUCGCAUAGCAGCCAUUGCCUGCUGCUUCAGUAUCUUUCUUUGAGAAACUACUGAAGAACUUGGUUCCACGGCCUUACCCUGCUGCUUCAGUAUUGACGCGGUCUAGGUUCCAAGGAGACAUAGUUGACUAUCAUAACUCACAAACCUUGUAGAAGGCAUUUAAACUCUCACUAUAGAAAAAAAGGUUCUCACUUCCUCUUAUUAAAACUGGAACGCUUGUUGUAUGAAUUCCAUGUCACUACUUUCAACUUAAGAGUUCCCACAAAAAAAGAACUUUCAACUUAAGAGGUAAAAGUCCAAUAUUAAAAUCAUGAAGUAAAGUUUUUAGACCGCGGAUUAAGCAGAGAAAUAAUGACCGACAUUGCAUCAUCCUGAAUUGCAAAAUAACAGCUUAAAAAAAGAGUGAACACAUAUUAUAUUAAAGUAAAUUUUAUGUAAUAAAAGGAUGGAUAUACAAUGGCGCCAAUGAGGACUACUUUUGAUUAUAGUGAUGAAAAUUUUCUUGAAAGUUAAGUACACCGGACACGCCCACCAACAUUGGAUAGACGUCCCUGGUCUAUUUGGACUAUUUGGGGUACAUGCUCAUAGCAUCUUUUUGCUAGGUAAGCCUUGAAAUUUCAGCAUUUUCUACUAACCCUCAUGCACUGUACAUUUUACUUCAAGGUGAAUUGAGGUUUAAAUGGUGAGAGCAGACGAUCUAUACACGUGCCUGCUGGUCCAUAUUAUCCAGUCGGUCGCGUUUUCAUGCAGAUCAGCGCCCAAAACAAAGUUAAAGCAGACAGGGAAAGGGAAAACAUUUUAAUAAAAUAAGCUGUUAUUUCCUCAAAAUAAAAUAGGCGGUUAGCUAGUAGGGACCAUCUUGAUGAAUGUUCUUUACCUAAUGCCGAAGGUACUUUUACAGUGGACGGGGCCUGGACAGGGGAAAUUUUGGUCCUUCACAGCGUCGAUAGCCAUCAAUCUCAGGGAAGAAUUCGUUCCCGAAAAGCACCCAUCACCGACUCCCAUGUCUCUCUCUCUCUCUCUCCCUCGAUAACGGUGACUGUCCCUUGCAACACCAGAAACAAGAACAUGUAUGGACCUCCACGAGCAAAGGACGGGAUUUUUGCCCAGCCGAAUUUGAUCCAGUANNNNNNNNNNNNNNNNNNNNNNNNNNNNNNNNNNNNNNNNNNNNNNNNNNNNNNNNNNNNNNNNNNNNNNNNNNNNNNNNNNNNNNNNNNNNNNNNNNNNNNNNNNNNNNNNNNNNNNNNNNNNNNNNNNNNNNNNNNNNNNNNNNNNNNNNNNNNNNNNNNNNNNNNNNNNNNNNNNNNNNNNNNNNNNNNNNNNNNNNNNNNNNNNNNNNNNNNNNNNNNNNNNNNNNNNNNNNNNNNNNNNNNNNNNNNNNNNNNNNNNNNNNNNNNNNNNNNNNNNNNNNNNNNNNNNNNNNNNNNNNNCUUCAGGAUAGUUCAUUUACAAUCCGGGGCAAUACAAAUUACAUGUCUAAUCUAAGUAUAUAUUUCUGUAAUACAAGUUUAAGUUACAAAAUUGUUGGUUCUCACAGUUUAGCAAGAAUGUGUGUCAAGACAAAUAUUUUAUAAGACCAAACAAAUUUUUAUUAAUCUCUAAAACGAAUCAGCAAAACGGAAAACCUGAAUAUGUCCAACAUACACAUAACUACUUGACUAUACACACAUAUAGUUGCUAGUUAUAAUUACUUGACUAUACACAAAGUACACAUGUGCCUGCGACUGCAGAUAUGCACUCAAGCCAUGAGGCCAGCAACGGCAAGCAAAACGGCGAGGCCAUACCCGAUGGCCUCCACAUUGGUGGCAGUGGAGACAGGGGUCGGCGGGGGAGCAUUGCUUGCACUUGGUCCGCUGGCUGGGGCGGGUGACGAGGAGGAGCCAGACAUGACAUCGAUCUUGACCUUCAUGCCACCCGCGCAGUGGCCAGGGAAGCCACAAAUGAAGUACCGGGUGCCGGAGGCGGUGAGGGUGACGACAUCAUUCCCAGAGUUGAGGGUGGUGAUGGGGCUGGCGGUGCUGCAGGAGUCGUAGUCGGCCUUGCUGACCUCGAGGACAUCAUGCGCUUGAGGGGAGUACUUGAAGAUGAUCUGGUCGUCGGCUUUGAAGUUCCUGAAGGACGCCCAUGUGCCGUAGUUGGUGCUGAGGUCCCACGCUCCGCCGGGCUCGCCAACGUUGUAGAUCGCCGCUGAUGCGGUGCUCAGGAUGGCCAUCACAGCCAUGGCGAGAAAAAUGGUUCGUGUGACAGCCAUUGAGGCUUGAACUGCAAGGAGAGCUUAGCAGAGGAGAUUACAAGGGAGGUGCUGAUGUUUUGGUCCUUGAGCGGAGAAUGUGUUUGCUUCCCUAGGUGGCGGUGUCCGGUCCUAUAUAUAGGACAAUCCUGGCCGGGUGGGACGGAGAAACAUGUGCGGUUGGUGGGACUUUGAAUAUUGUGUGUAGGUGGGAACACAAGCAGCUGGUACGUACUUGAUCAAAAUAGACUGAGUUUGUGAAGACCGGGCUGUGCUGUUAGCCUGCUGACCAUUUCACGCGUUCUUUUCCUUUUUCUUCAAUAUGGACGCGGUCUACAAGACAUGACGUAGACUAACACGAUCCACAUACCUUUUGACGUAGAUCCUAAAAUGUUGAUAAAUCAUUUUUUAUUACUGGAUUCGACAUAUUAAAGAGACCCUAAAAUGUUGUUGUUGGGAUUAUUUAAUUAUAUGCACUAAUUCAAUAUCAAGUACAAAUGGUACAUUUGGUCACUCUAUAAUGUUAACCUAUAUACCUAUAUAUUAAUAACAGAUUUUUUUUAGGGAAUAUAUAAAUAAGAGCUUUUUUUUACC